rnacentral:lncRNA from 1 species
UCUUCUUAGGUCCCUAUCCAUUUUCUUUCCUUUUUCCUUUCCUACAUUUGAUACGGUUCUUUUUACACUUAAAAGGCUGGAGCUUUUGAAGAACUAGACUCAACCACAAAAGCAUAUCCUAGAGAUUUAGCAGUACCAAAUCACUCGUCCUCUAAUUCCACAUUGUGGGUAUCAUCAGCAAAUGUUUUGAUGCUAUCAUUAUAAAUCAAAUUGACUUUCAGAUGCUCUCAAUUAUCAGGAAUAGAGUGGAUCAAAGCUUGAACUUGCUAUUCAUCAUAGAGUAUGUGACAAGUCAACUUUAACUCCCAAAUCAUGUUAGACAUGGUCCUCACAUGUUGUGUGAUCUUGUGGUUAGGAGUUCUUGUAUGUGUCAAAUUUAAUAAUCAGCUAUCUAAGUCUAGUUACACUAGUGCCACCAUAUUUCUCUCUCAGAUAUACCUAAACAAAUGAGCAGUUGAGAACUGUUCACACUUCUGAACGAGAUCAUCCAACAUGGAACUUAGAAAAAUCGCACAAGUAUUGGAAUAUUUUUUCCUUGUUUGGUAAAUUUCUUGAAACCUUCUGUGUUGAGUAGUCUGGCCCAUCCCUAGGUUGUAUUAUGUGGUUAAUACUCUCAAGACAAUCUUAUUUCUCCAACACUUGCCAAAUUUCAUGGUGCUAAAUAUUAUAGUUAUUGUCAUUCAAUUUUUCUCAUUUAUUAAGGUCAGUAAUGAUAUUCUUAAAUGCUAUGGUCUGUCACAAUUUUAGAGACAAUUAUAUGAACAUCCAAUUAUGAACACAUAUCAUUUUGUACUUAUGUAAAUUAAAUUUUAUGAUAAUUUAACACUAGAUAUGGAGUUAAAAGCUCACUAAGUUCCCAACCAUCAUCCAUUAUGUUAAUAUUUCAUCACAAAAAUAAUAAUAACAAUAAAUAAAUAAAUAAAAUUAAUGUCAUAGUGCAAAAAUAUAUAUAUAUGCGAUCAAAUUAAACUUUUGUGUACAACUACAACCCAUGAGAAGAGCAUUCCAUACAUAUUGUUCAGCAAUUUGGUUGUCACUAAGUCACUGCUACAAUUAACUAUACAUAGAUAGGCUGAUCUUCUUAAUAUUCUAAUUUUCUUUCUUCCAUUUCUUCAUAAAAUCCUGAUCAGAUAGCUAUAAGCCAGAUUAAGUGAUUUGUCUAGAAUUUCAACUACAAUAUCAUGCCAAUGAGUAGGAAGUGUUCUCAUUAGAUGAUAUAUUUUCUCAGCCUCACAUAUAUACUUUUCCAAAUGUGUUACUUCAAGACGCAUUGCUUCAAGAUGUUUUAUAUAUGGUAACAUGUUAGGUCGUUAAUCCAUUUCAUAGUUUCGAUAUCUAUGUAACUUUUCAACACGUUCCACAACUCAUUCUUUUCUACUUUUCCCUAUAAGAAUGCUAAAAAUGUACACAGAUCCAGUCAUAUCUGUUAAAAAAAAAAAAAAAAAUUGUACACAGAUCCAGUCAUAUCUGUUAAAAUAUAUAUAUAACAGUGAAUCAUAUAAGCCAAUCAAAACUUACACCACUCAUGAAUGUGGAAAAAUAUGGUAUUUUGAAUACUUUUAAAGUAUUUUUCAAUUUCUAAAAAAUGAGAGCAUCUCAAAAAUUAACUGCCACUAUGAAAAUACUACUUAAUAAAUAUUUUUUAUUUUAUUAAAAAAAUCAGAAUUUAAUCAACUUGGAAAAAAAAAGUAUUUUUACAAAUUUCAUUUAAUCAUUAAAUAAAAAAAAAUUAACUGUCUAAAAAUUAAUUUAAGUGUAUAGAAUAUUUUAGGAAUCAAACUGUAAUUUUUAGAAAUACAAACGAUUCCACAUGAGCCCCCAACGUGCUGAUCAAAGUUUUUAAAUUUUUUAAACUUUUUAAUUAAAAAAAAUAAAAAUAGGGCGCAAUCAGGUACACCUCCGCGUGCAAACAUUCAAAAAACUUGUUUGGCCCAUUUAGUUAAUUUUGAUAAUCUGAAUUCAUGAUUUUACAACAGCAAUAUCUAAAGCCAUGUUUGGAACACCAACAACUUGGUUUGAGGGUGGGAAGGAAUUUUUUUAUGUUUUCUGUUCAUCUUCUAGUGUAGAAUUUUCAAAAAUUCAACCAAACUUCGAUAGACCAUAACUUCUUCAUUUCAAUGCCAAAAGUAAUCAUCUUUGUAUCAUUUGAAAACACAAAACGUAACGUACAGUAAACUUAGGGUUGACCCCGGGCCAAAGUCACUAGGCCACCCUUCUUCAGAAUUUGAACUUCUGCAAUCUUCAAUUUUCAAUUUUCCAAGCUUUUGAAUUCGUAAAGAGGCAAACCAUAAUUUUUCCGUAAAACUGAUUUGAACUUCAAUCAAAUUCCAUUUUUUUCUAUAUGUUAUCCUAUUACCAUCUGCACAAUUAGAGAUACAACCACAUCCUAUAGGUUACUCGGCCUUAGUUUCAAUCUCGAAGUAGCCGUUCAUACCACCCAUGACAAAGGCCUCAUAAUAAUUAGUCGAUUAGAGUCUUAAAAUUUUCAGGAUCGACCUUGAAUAAGCUAUCAUGUUAUGAAAGUUUGGGUUCUUUAACUAGGGUUCCAUUUUUCUUCCUUCCAGAAUACAGAGCUCAACAAUAUGAAACUUUGCAAACAUGUUAUAUAUGUUAACAUGAACAUAUAGUAUAAAUUUAUAGAACAUAUAUGAGGUAUAUCAUAACUUGCCAUGAAAUGUGUUCAAACUUUGAAGGAAAAAUGACAUACAUGCAUUUUCAUCACAUUAAACCAUUUUUUAGCAUGUCACAGAGCAAGAAAACAACCUACUUAGAUGCUGAUAUCAAUGUAAAAAACUACUUAGCAUGCUUCUAAUUGAGUUUGGAGUCUUAGAACUUACUUGAAAUUCCGACGAAUGAAAGGUUGAAUUACUUGCCAUUGGUUUAUUCACUUACUGCUCUUUGGCUAUAGACUCGAUCACGAUGGAAAGAGUUUGAUAUUCACAAUCCAAGAAUCAAUUUUGAGAUGGUAAUCUUGCAAAAUCUAGUCAAUACACUAAGGCCCUAUUUGAUAGACAUUUCUUUUCCAUGAAAAAUGGAAAUUAAAUUUCAUUUCCCACUUUUUAACUUGUUUGAUGGUAGAAUUUUUUUAUGAAAAUGAUUUUCUACAAAUCUUUGCCACAUCAGAUUUUUUUAGCUUUUCCAAGUUUUUGCUUCUUUUUUUUUUUUUUAUGCAAUUGAAACAAAUUCUAGGAACAAUUGUAAACGAGGAUAUCGCUUAAAUUGAAAAUUUUCAUUUAAAACAAAGCCAAACGAAUACCGAAAGGUAGAUGAUUUUUGGAUUUCUUCGGGGUUUUUUUUUUUUUUUUUUUGACGCAAUGGAAAAAAAUUUUAGGAACAAUUGCAAAAGUGGAUUAAAUUGAAAAUUUUCAUUUAAAACAAAGCCAAACGAAUACCGAAAGGUAGAUGAUUUUUGGAUUUCUUCGGGGUUUUUUUUUUUUUUUUUUGACGCAAUGGAAACAAAUUUUAGGAACAAUUGCAAAAGUGGAUUAAAUUGACAAUUUUCAUGAAAAAUAAAAUCAAAUAAACACCAAAAAAUACUUUUAUUUCAACAUUUUUCAGGUGAAAAAUUAAACAAAUCAAACACUAUUAAUUGACAAUUCUCAGUAAAACAAUUUUUAGACAACUUAAUUUCUUGAAAUUUGUUUUAUUUCCACCCAAAUUCCAUAUUUGCAAUCAAACGUACCCUAAUGUAUUUUCACUCCCUUCUCUAUAUCUAAAUUUUGCAUUUUCUUCUUUUAUGGUUUCGGUAUAGUGAGAGUUACAUGGAAGUUAUAGGUGGUGGGAGAUUAAAUUUCAACUCCUCCCUCCAAAUUCAUUCCAGGCAAUUUGGGUCUCGUUAGCCCGUUUCAUACCAACACUUUCCCAAAUAACAAUGGUCUGAAUCCAUAUUCAUACUACUCAAAUGGUAAUUAAACCACCUGAGAUUCAGCUAAGAUGGGCCUGACCAAAUUAAUGGUGGGCAAAUUACACAAAUACACUAAAAAGUAGGGACUUUUUAAAAAAUCAUAAUAAAAAAAGGUUUAGAAUUAACAAAUCGUAUUAAUUAAGUAUUAAGCUAAAAAUUGAUACUUUUAAACUCGCUGCAUGCUAUUCUUCUUCGAAUCUCCUUUCAAGUCCAAUAUUAGUUUUCAAGCAGGUUCUUAAAUUUUGACAAAAUUCAUAAGUUGCCCAUCUAUUUUCCAGUAGUAUAAUAAUUUUUUCUUUAUAAUUUUAAUUAACCAGAUAAUAAGUUUUCAAGUGGAAAUUUUUAGAUUUUCAGUAAUAAUUUCAUCUCCUAUUCAACUUCAUUAUCCAAUCGCUUUACAAGUUUAGUUUUCCAAAUAAUUACCAACACAAACUACUUUACAAAAUCUAUUGCAAUUUUAUUAUGAAUUUGAGAUUUUUGAGGUUUUUGCUUGUGUUAGUAUACAUGAAAGUUCAUCUUUGGAUCAAUGGUGGUUAGUAUAUAAGUAAUUUCAAUUUUGGAUCAAUUAGGGAGAUGUAUGCAACUUAUUUGUGAAAAUUUAAAUAUUAAUAGGAAUUAAGAUUUUGUAUUAGAAAGCGAUAUAUUCAGCCAACUUUUUUAAGGAAGUCGCAUACUAUUUAAUUUGAAUUCUUUUUGGAUUAAUUAAAAAGAUGCAUACAAUUUGUUUGUGAAAAUGUAAAUAUAAUAUGAAUUCAAACUUUGCUUUCCAUUAAAAUUAACAUGAUGUAACAAUUUAUUUGUCUUCCAUAUGAGAAUUUUGCUAUUUGUAACUCCCCUCACAAUGUGUGUGUGUGUGUGUGUGUGUGUGUGUGUGGGGGGGGGGGGGGGGGUUUUUUUUUGGGGGGGGGCCCCCNNNNGGGGGGGUGGGGGGGGGGGGGGGGGGGCUUUUUUAUUGGGCGUGGACUCCUCCCCCUCUUGUGAGGGGCGUGCAACGCCCGUGUACCGGUGUACAUAUAGCAAGGUCUAUGGCCCCAUUUGGUAGGGAUUUUUUGCCCCAAAAAAUUGAUUUUUUGACCGUUAUUUUACUAUUCAAGCCGUAAUUUUUGACUUCUUCUCUCACAUGUGGACCCUACUUUUCUUCUAACGGUCAAAAAAUCAAUUCUCAAAAUCCCUACCAAACGGGCCCUAUAUAUGAUUUAAGGUGCUAGAAUUUUUUGCCGCUUUCUUCUAGUUCUUUUUUUCUUUAAAGAAAGCCACACAUAAUCUAAUUUGAAAUGUAUUAUUAUUUUUGCAAAUUUGGAUAAAAUUAAAGGUGAUUGGUGCAAAAUUCCUUGACUUUUGCCUAUAAUUGUGGAAUAUCUCAUAUCCUUUCAUUUUAGUAGAAAGACCUCCCUAGAUGGUCCAAACCUUGAAACAUCCCUACCAUCCAAUUCCAAUAGGUUAAUAAUGAAAUCCACUUAAAAAGGCCAAAACUAAAAAGAGCUAGUUGCAACUGCAGUCCCAAAUCUUUUAUCUUUCAUAGAUUAUACACAAACUUUUUAUUUGUGUCACCCACAGUCCAAACCUUUAGAAAUUAAUUUUUCAUCCUCUUUCCCAAAUCUCUCACCCCCACGCCACCCAACCCCAACACACCAACUACCAUAAGAAAAUACCACUACCAGCCUCCAAAAAACACCAACAGCUCAAGAAAAAUCUCCAACUAGAAGAAGGGCCCUCAACUGACUAACCUUUGGUCUGACGAUGGUUUGCUGGAGCUAGGGAGACCAUGCCAGACUCGCCAGAGCUUCGCAAUUGCUAGUUCAACGUAGAUUUGAGUUCACAGAGGUAGUUGGAGUGAGAAGCACAACGAAAUUGCUUGUGUUGCUGCGAAAUGUCUAGGGUUUUGCUUUUGAGAGUUUUGAUUUGGGGAAUUUUAUUUUUAUUUUUUUAUUUUUUCUCACUUAUCUCGAAUGCCAGGUUAACUAUAGGAAGAGAAAAUUGUAUAAUUCAUUAGCAGUACGAAUGAUGUAUGCUCGGUCAAAGGUCAUCGGCCCGAUUAACAGCUAAUUUUUUUGUAUGAUGAAGUGGGAGAACAUGGAGUGAGGUGAGUUGGCAAGAAAAAUAAAGUUUGGGCAUGGGUUUGUGGUUGGCAAAAUAUAUAAAAAAAAAUUGAGUAUAAUUUGUGGGAAAAAAAAAAAAACGCUUAGGAAUGAAACUCCAUUUUCUUUUUCUUUUUUAAAUUUUGACAAUUUUUACUAUUUUUAACAAAUAAACUAACAGAAUUGGAUGGUACGAAGGUUUUUUGCACCUAAAAGGUUGUAUUCUGCCCUAGAGGUUUCAAAUAUGGACAUUUUAUGUUAUUUCUAAUAAGUAUGGGAUUUUUUGCGCAUCUAAUGGGUAGAGGAAAGGCAUUUGCCAUGAGAUCAAAGUCUUGGGAAAACGUGGCAGGACGAGAUCGAUUCAUUAACAAGGGAAUGGAGAAGAGAACUUGUCAAGGGAUUGGCAAAACUAAAAAUUGAAAACAAUUUGAAAAUAGCAAAUCAAAUAUAUCAAAAAAUUUCACCAAACUCAUUUUUUUUCAUACAUUCUUCAGAUAAAAUAAAAUAAUACAUAUUUUCUAAAAAAUUACUAUUAUACAACUUAUUCUCCUGUAGAAAUGGCUCAAACAAACAAUAAACACAAACCAAGUCCACUCAAUAGAUUGGUCAGUUUCGAAGCUUUCAUUUAAUGUUAAAACAUAACAAGCAAUGAACUCUCGCCAAAAAACCCACGUACUUUUGAUAUUUCCUUAAUCCGGGAUAGAGAGCCACCUUAGUUCCUUAGAUUUGAAAAAGACGAAAAAUCACAUAAAAAAUGAAUGAAAAUAAUCAGUCAUCCAAAUUAAUAAACAGACCGUUAAACAUUGGCGAAAAAGCAGAAACGAAAGAAUAUAACAAAAUUACAAUAAUAUCUAAAUUUUAUGGGAGCCGCUAUUUUCUUCUACCAUUUUUAUUAUCUGUCCAUUUUUUAAUAUUUAUUUUUUUUAAAAUGAUUAUAUUGACACCACAAUUUUUAUUUAUUGCACCACUUUUUUAUUGUAUUUUUAUUUUUCAAUCUUUGUUCGUCGUAGCAUUUAUAUUCUUAACUUUUAUCUAUCAUAUUCUCAUCUUUAACCUCCCAAUAAUUAACACUUCUUGUCUUUGAUAAUGAUUUUAAUCAAAAAAAAUUAUUUUCAUACUUUAAAAUGGGGGGUUGGAGGGGGGGGGGGGGGGNNNNNNNNNNNNNNNNNNNNNNNNNNNNNNNNNNNNNNNNNNNNNNNNNNNNNNNNNNNNNNNNNNNNNNNNNNNGGGGGGGUUUGUCGCACUUUUAUAUUUAUUUAUUUAUUAAAUUAUGAUCAAAAGUGAGUCAUUUUACGCCUUUCAACGAUUUUUUUUAUUUUUUUAUUUUUGAUAGAAACUAUUAUCAAAAUACAAAAUGUAUUAACCAAUGGAAAAUUGAUGAUAAGAAUGUCACGAAAAGCGUUAGGGAUAUAAGUGCUAAGAUGAAUAAAGAUUGAGAACUUCAAGUGCAAUUAAAAUGAGCAAAAAAUAAAAAGUGUGGUGUAAAUAUAAUUACCCUUUAAAAAAAUUAUAUUUUACAUUCACAACCUUAUUUAAAUUUAGAAUAAAAUCAAAUAAAUUCUAUGACUUUAACCACUAAAUUCUUUGACUUCCCACAAUUUUAUAAACACAAAACAAAUUGUUGAGCAAAAAUUGAAUUGAAAAAUGGAUGCUUUGGUUUACAAUACUGUGAAAAGGAUGAAGUGUAAUUGUUGUGUUGCAUUUUGGUGUGACAACAAGGCCUGGGCAUUGUUUCAUUUGGGUCGGUUUUGAAUCGACUUCAACUCAAAAUCAAAACCAAAAUAGUCAGUUUGUAUGAAUUUCAAUUCAAACCAACCCACUCUAUCUUUUAAAUCGAUUUUUUUCAAUUCAAUUAGUCAAUUUUAGUGGUGGCAAUGGCAUGGCUCGGCUCGGCUCGGCCCUUAACCUCACGCGAGCCGAGCUCGUGGGCCUAGCCGAAUUUUGACUCGUGGGCUCGUCUUUUUUUUUUAAAUAGAGAAAAACACAAAUAAUGUAAUGAAAACACUUUUUAAAAAAAUAAAAAGUGUUAAAAAUAUAUAAAUAAUUUAAUGAAGACACUUUUUAUUUUUUUAUUUAUAUCAUAUUGUAAUAUUUUUUAUAAAGUAUAAAAUAUUUAUAUAAUGAAGAAAUUUUGUUUUUUGAAAUAUAUUUACAAAAAAUAUAUUUUUUUAUUUCUUUUUAAAGUAGAUAAAAUGUAAACCCUCCUCCUUUAUCUGAGGUUGGGACCAGCUACAUCAAUUUUAAGUAAGCGGAAUUAAAAAUUGUACACGAACAAUUUGUUGUAAUUUGUACAAUUUUUUAAAGAAAAUUAAAUUUAACGAUUAAAAAAUAAGGAGAUUUUGAUUAAUAUAAUUAAAUCAAAUAUCACUUACCUGAUGACAAGUAAUUUCAGCGUAUUUAUCUUGUAAUCGAAAAUGAGCGUCAUGUCAAUCCUUCACGCACAUUAACGCUUACAAAACAUCUUCUUUCAGUAGGUUUCUGAUAUCGAUCAAAACCAUUUUACCUACACUAAAAGCAAACUCCGAAGCAACAGUGCUAACUGGAGGUGUCAGCAGAUCUUUCGCAAUUGCAGAAACAAUUGGCCAACGUCUUUCAUACUUUCGUCAAAAUUCAAUUACUUCUUCUGAACUUUUUUUUAAUUGUUCUGUCUUUUGGCAUAUUAUGAUUAAAGUAAUCAAUUAAUUCGGCAGGCAUCGCAUUUUGAAUUUCGAUUGAUGUUUGAUGAAGUGUAAAUGUAGAUGACAUGGCACUAGAUGAACACAUUGCAGUUGCAUCAUAUCUAAAUAUAUUCAUGCCUUGAAAUAAAUUCAUUAUUUCGGCAUCAUCUUCUUCAAUUUCAGCCGAAAAAGUAGGUGCAGAGAGUACCCGACUAACAUUCACAUCCAUUCUUUCCACAUAUAAAUCAUACAUUCCACAUAAUGUUUACUCUAAAUUCUUAUAGGUGAUAAGUGUAUCAAGUAUUAAAACUUUAUUGAUUUGAUCAAUUACGUAUUUAGUUCCCGAAAUAUUAUAUCGGGGGUCCAUUGCGCAUGCUAAAUGAAAUAAAAUAGGUAGUUCUUUCUAAUAUUUUCUAAACUUUAAUUCCAUAACAAUUAUAAUUUCACUAAAAGUAAGAUCAUUUUUAUAUUUAUGGAAUGUUUUUGCAAUUAUAUAAAGGCGUUCAAGCACCAUACAACUUAUGGGAUAAUAAACACCGAAAAAAUUCUUUGCGGUCUCAUAAAAAGAUAUCAAAAAUCGUUUAACUUUCAAAACUAAAACCUAAUCGGAUUCAUUUAACAUACCAUCGUUAUCACUUCUAACGUGUCUAUUGUUAUAAAAGUCAGUUAUUAAAUUUUCAAAACCUUCACAUGACUUUAAUAGCAAGUAAGUAGAGUUCCAUCUAUGGCCUACGUCGCUAAUAAUGUUUUAGCAGUCGUCAACCCUAGCGAAGCACAAAAAUCUUCAAAUGCUUAUUUUCUACUUGAAAAGAUCAUAAUAUAUACUAAUGCAUUCAUAAUCUUUUGAAGUUCAUCAUUUAUAUGUUUUAAGUCAUCUUGCACAAUUAAAUUCAAAAUAUCACACACACAACGAAUAUGAAACAAAUACCCAUCAAAAUCUGGUUAAAGUAUCAUACAUAAUUUAUCGACGACUACCUUAUUAACAUUAGCAUUAUCAAAAGUAAAAAAUCGAAUUUUAGUUUCACAAUUAUAUUUUCUAGUAAUACUAAUAAUAUCAUUAUAUAUAUUAUUAGCAUUAUGAGAAAACUCAAAAAUUCUAAAAGUAAUAAUUUUCUUAUGCAUGCACCAAAGUGGAUCUAUAUAGUGUGCGGUUGCAGCUAUAUAUACUCUUUUAUUAACCCCUUCCCGUAUAUCAGAAGUUAAAGAUAUAACACUCCCAUAUUGUUGCAAAUACAUAAUUAAUUGUUGUUUUGAAUUAUUGAAAUAUUUUAUUGUAUCGGCACGAAAAGUGUUUCGACUUACCCCAACGUACCUUGAUUGCAGAUAUUCUUUCACGAACGAGAUGAAGUGUUGGUUAUCUGCAAUAGCCAGAGGCAACUCAGUGGCAGCAACAAAUUUCACCAUUCCGGUUCGAGUAUUCUCCUCCAAAUACACCCACGUGAAUAGGGGUGAAGUCGUAAAACCGGUGCCUGGACUGUCAAAUUGUAAUUGUGUUUGACAAGUUAGAAAAAGUCCAUGUCUAGCCGCACAUGCUUUGUAGUGACGGUUGAGAUGGGUGGUACCAAUUCCUUUUUACCAUGCCAACUUUUGUUGGCAGUAUUUACAUACUGCUUUAGAUUCUGGAAGGUCAUCUACGACUUUUUUCGUUGAAAUCAACUUAAAGUGAUCCCAAUAUUUUGCUUGUUUUUUGUCCUUUCGCUUUCCCCUCGCAUUUGAGAUGUUUAAUUCGACAUCUUCCUUCUCAUGUUCCGCUUCGGGAACGUUAAUAUCAUCCAAAUCAAUUGGAUUGUGGCUUCCCUGAUCGUGAGUGUGAACAUCUUCAAGUAUGGGUAAGUCAUUUAGACCGAAAAAUUCAUUUAGAAAUUGACUUUGCGGCGUCCUAGGCGAUUCACCAUGGUGUGGCCCACAUUCCGUAUCGAAUAAGCUCUCAACAAAUGAGCGUUGGUCCAUUUGUUUGAUUGUUUAUGAUGAAAUCCAAAUAUAAUAACUAGAAAAAUAUAAAUGUAGUGAGAUUGUGAGAAUUGAGAAUUGGAUGAAUUGAAAUUAUAACUAAUAUAUUGUAAAAAUUGAAUCAAUAUUGUAUAUUUUGCAACACAAUAGAGUAAAAAUUGGAUAAUUGAUAUAAUAAAAGAGAGUUUAAGUAGUGAUUAAGUAAGUGAUAUAAAAAAAAGGGGAGGGGGAGAGCUAAAGGGUAUUUAUAGUAGAAGGGAAAAGAAAAUUUAAAAAAAAAAAUCGGUGACCAAACGGUCACUGAAAAAGUAUCAAAACAAUCUUUUUUUUUUUUUUUUUAAAAAAGUGACCGUUUUGGUCACUAUAAAUAACGAGCCACUUGCCAACGAGCGGCUCGUCUAGCGAGGUCCGCUCAGCUUGCGCUCGGGCUCAUGAUUUUACGAGCCCGAGCCGCCCACUAGCCCUAUUUCGACGAGCCGAGCGGUCGAGCCACCUUUUGACAUCCCUAGUCAGUUUAGACUUUUAAUCCAAAUUGAUUUUUAUUUUUUUUCAAAAAAAAAGUUCAAGUUUUGGGCCCACUAAGAUUACAAUAACUAAAAUAACUAAAUAACUUUAUAUUACAAGAACUAUUGAUUGACAACUAAAAUUAGAUUAUUAAAGACGGAUCAACUAAAAACUUAAGAAUUUUGUUGAUUUUUUAUGUAUUAUGUAGCCUGACUACCUGAGUAGGGAAAAAGACUAGUAUAAAAUAAUGAGCUUGUGAAAGAAAAUUUCUAGUGUUAUUACUUACAGACAAUAUCAUAGAUUAGAGGGAACGAGAUAUAGUUAUAAAAUUAGAACUUAUCUUUUGAUUUUUAUUUUGCUUAAAAAAGGUAAAUAAGUAAAUGGGUUGGAUGGGUUCGGUUAAUGAGCAAUUUGAGGCUUUAAAUCAUGAUUGAAUUGACCAUAGUUUUGUUUAAAAAUAAAAUUAGACCAAACUAUUAUAUGUGUUAAAUCGACCCAAGUCAAUUUAGUUUGAUUGGUUUAAUCGAUUUUCAUUUUUUGCCCAGGCCUAGUGACAACAGUGGAAUAGUUUCCAACAUUUGGUUAACAAUACAGAAAUUUGGAAUUUAGUAUUGUGGAACUUAAAAAACAUUAAAAAAUUUUAAAAAUAUAAGAAUUGUCUUUUAUUGUGGGUUUGAUGAAUUUAAUACGUGAAUGAUUCUUGAUUUGUGUUUGAGGUGAGAAUAAUUCGAGCUUUGUUCUUUGGAUUAUAUUUUAUUUUCUUGAAUUAUAAUAGGUGUUAUGAAAAGAAAUAAAAAGAGAAGAGAAAAUAAAAAUCAAUAAAUUUGUCUGUAUUUUAUUAGAAACUAAAGCCAUAUAUUUAUAGGAAACAAUCCCAACGUGAUAAUUUUUAGGAUUGCAGAAAUACAAUUGUUAUUCACUAAUAAAUUUAUCAUUUACAGUAAUUUCCUUUGAAUAACACACUACAAAAUAUUUGCCUUGUUAAAAUCUUGUUUGAUAAAAAUUCAAUAGGAAAAAAAAUCAAAAGGAGGAAAAAGUGUACAAUUAUAAAUGAUACCUCAUUAAAACCUUACUAAGAAAAUCCAGUGGAAUAAAACCUAAGCGAAGGAAAAAGAGUAUGGAUACUCCUCCAAAUGAUGAUUACUAAAUAUCUUUGAACCAAUCUCAUGAAUUAAUUUCUUGAAUAUAGAUGUUAGUAAUGCUUUUGUGAAUAAAUCAGCCACAUUGUCACUUGAGCGAAUUUAUUGAAUAUCGAUGUCGCUGGUCUUUUGAAGUCGUACAUGAAAGAAUUUUUAAGAAAUAUGCUUCGUUCUAUCACCUUUGAUGUAGCCUCCUUUGAAUUAUGCAAUACAAGCUGCAUUAUUUUCAUACAAAAUUGUUGAAUUAUCUUUUGUUGAAGUUAACUCGCAUGAUGCUAGAAUAUGAUGGGUUGUGAUCAUCAAUCAUACACAUUCUCAGCUUAUUUCAUGGAUUAUAAUAAUUUCAAAAUAAUUUGAGGAUGAUAUGGUCAAUGAUUGUUUCAUAGAUUUUUAUGAUAUAGUUGUUCCUCCACGUUUAAGCACAUAUAUGUUUAUGAUUUAGCUUUACUUAAAUCAGAGAGAUAACCAGUAUCUGCAUAUCUUCCUAAAGUAGAUCCCGAUUUUGAGUAUAAAAUAAUCUCAAAUCAAUAGUAACUUUCAGGUAACGAAAAAUGUGUUUAACAUCAUUCCAAUACCUUUGAGUUAGUGUAGAGUUAUAUCUAACAAGAAGAUUUAUAGAAAAACUGUAUUGGUUGGAGUGCAGUUUGUAAGAUAAGUUAAUGCUCCAACUGCACUUAGGUAUAGUAUUUCAGAACCAAGAACCUUUUCUCCACCUUUAAGUGGACGGAAUGGAUCUUUUUUCACAUCAAAUGAUCGAACAACCAUAGGUGAUACUAAUGGAUGUGCAUUGUUCAUAUAAAAGCGUUUUAAGACUUUUCUGUAUAUGUUGAUUGAUGAACAAAUUAUUCUUCCGCGAAAUGUUCAAUUUGCAACCCGAGAUAAAAUUUGAUUUUUCCUAAAUCAUUCAUUUCAAAUUCAUUUUUCAAAUAAUCUGUAGUUUUGUUGAGCUUUUCAGGAGUUCCGAUUAAAUUUAAAUCAUCAACAUAAACUGUCACAAUCGUAAAUCUAAUAUUAGAUUUCUUCAUGAAAACACAUGAGCAAACAUCGUCAUUUUGAUAACCCUCUUUCAAAAAAUUCGCUAAGACGAUUAUACUACAUGUGUCCGGUAUGUUUUAAUCCAUAUAAUGAUAUUUGCAAUUUAAUUAAGAACAUAGUUCUCGAGUAUGUAUCAUUUGUUCCUAGCAUUUUCGGUCUUUUGGAGGACUCUCUCUCUCUCUCUCUCUCUCUCUCUAUAUAUAUAUAUAUAUCCACUCUUUUGUCGAGUGUACCAACCUUCGAUCUGCGGCAUUCACAUUCAAACAAUCAUUGUCUCGAGUCAAAGGUGACUCAACAAGGCUUCCACCAACAACGUCCUCGUGUGGGCUCUUCAACAUCGCUUCGUCAUUGACUCAAGAGCGCCACCGACUUUUGAAUUGCCUAUCAUCGGUCAUUCCACUCUUCUUUUAAGUAGAUAAGUCAAAAAUCAGAUUAAUCAUACCGUCCUGAGUUGGGGUCUCCUACCAUCCCAUGUUGCUCACACCAACAUGUCUCAAUCUAACAUCACUAGCCAUCCGCUUUAACCAAGCUCACUUCUAUGUCUCCACCAAGGUAAUGUAAAAUUGCUUAUCCUAUCAAGCCAACGAAAUUGGAGUGUGUUGCUUGUGGACGCUCUCUUUACUCACUUGCCUAUUGGUCAAGUAUUAAGCCAGCUGAGGUCUCUGUCGCCAAUCUACACCACAUGCAUCAUUCUCUCCUAUAAUAACUUAGCGCUCAGUACAGUCAGGCUGAGUCGCUUGAUGAACUAUACGAAAUCACGAUAAAGUGAACUCCUUAAGUAUAAAAUAAAGAGAAUAGCAGGCAGUGCACCUUUGCCUUCGGUGUGUGUGCGUGCGUGUGUGGGUGUGGGUGUGUGUGUGUAUCAAGUGAAUCAUACAAAUAGGUAGUUACUAUAUCCACAAGGCGCAUAUCGAGCUUUUGUAACCAUAAAAACCUUGAGCUGGGAAUCUGGUUUUGUAUCUUGUAAUUUUAUUAUUUUUAUUUAUUUUUUGUACAAAAAUCCAUUUAUAUUCUACAUGAAUUACAUUUUUUAGGUGUUCGAAUUACAAGUCCAAAUACCUUUCGUUUCUCUAAGGAAUUCCAUUCCGCCAGCAUGACCUCUUUUCAUUUUGACCAGUCAUUUCUGUUUUGACAAUUUUUAACAAACUAUGGUUCAAGAUUCUCAUUUUGCAUAAUAUCAAGAGCCACGUUAAAAGCAAAAAUUAUUGUCUAUAAUUACAUUACUUCGUUCCUUUAAUUUAUGAGACAACAUAUAAUUUAUUGAAAUCUUAUUAUUUUUUGACACUUGUGAUUUUUCAAGAACCAUAUUUUCAAUAUUUGAUUGAUUAACCUAUUCAUUCUGAUAUUACUAUUUUGAAUUUUUUAGUUAGCUUUUUUUUGUACUUUUCUUUUUCAAGUUACAGAGUAUUUUGAAUCAACCGAUCGAUCAUGCUUCUAGCGUAUUUGAGAUUCAUUUACUACAGAAGAUUGUUCUACAGGGACAUCAUUUUUUGCUGGAGUAUAUGACUUUUCCACUUUUCUUAUCUCAACAAAUAUAUCAGGCAAUUGAUUUGCAACUUUUUGUAAACAAAUGAUUUUUUCAACAUCUUACUCACGUUGAUUGCUGGAUGGAUUAAAUUGAGAUAAAGUCGUUUCAUUCUAAUAAAUUUUAUCUUAUUUUUCAAGAUGUAAUUUUUUCCCUCCCAAAGUUAGAAAACUCAUUUCAUUAAAAUGACAAUAUGCAAAUGUGCAGUAAAUAAAUCACCCAUUUAAGGUUCAAGAUACCUAAAUAUAGAUGAUGAAUCAAAACUUAACCUAAUUAUAGAUGAUGAAUCAAAACUUACAUAAAUCCCAAGUCUAAUUCGGUGACCUAUUUUAGUACAUUGUGAGGGUGAAAUAUGGACUUGGAUAUCACAACCAAAAACUCUUAGGUGAAAAAUAUUAGGUUUAUGACCAAAUACAAGUUAUAAAGGUGAACAUUAAUGAUAUCUAGUUGAUCUUAUAAGAACCAAUGAUGCAACACGUAAUGUGACAUAACCACAAAAGAAGUUUUUUGUUUUCAUAAGUAACAGUCUAACAAUAAGAUGUAGACGUUUAAAAAACGACUCCGUUAAAUCAUUUUGUGUAGGGAUACGUGCAAUUGAAUGUUCAAUAACAAUCCCAAUUAACAAACAAUAAUCAUAAAAUGCUUGUAAUCCAAAUUCACUAACAUUGUUAAGAAGAAUAAUCUUCAUUGAAUAAUUGGGAAAUUGCUCUCAUUAUUUUAUUAUUUUAGCAAGUAGUCUAGCAAAUUUACAUUCCUAGUGGAAAAUAUGCAAACAUGUGAAAAUUUAGUAGAAGAGUAAUUUAAUAUCAUAAAAUAACAAAAUAGUCCACAUAGUUUGUGUAUACCUUUAUAUAUUGUCAUGAAUUCUUUCCAAAAAAGUUGGAAAUUCAAUAUUAACAUUUGUAAUCAAAGGUCUAAUGACUAACUUGCUUUGCGAAUAAGCUACACAUGGAUAAUUAUUAGGUAAAAGAAUAUUCUGGUUCUUUAAAGGAUGCCCAUGUAAGUUAUAUAUUAUUUGACGCAUCAUUACAGCUCCUAGGUUUCUAAAUCAAUCAUGCCAAAGUAUAAAACUUUUUUGGUCAACGAACUUCUAGUUCAUGAAAUAUUUGAUUUAACCAUUUUUAUAAAUAAUACAUGCCAGAUGGGAGUACAUGAAGUUUUUCUUUUAUUUGCUUCUAGCCAGAUACAAAAGAAGUUAUGCAAAAAUAUUCAACAUUAUUUUCUUACAUCAUCUCAAUAUGAUAUUCAUUACAGCAAACAUCUUUAAAACUUAGUAAAUUUCUUUUGAAUUUCCUAGAAUAAAGUACAUUGUCAAUAUAUAAUUUCGUAGUUUUGAUCAAAUAAUACAAGCUCUUCCUGAGCUUUCAAUGAUAUUCGAUGCACACGAUAUCGUAUUAACAUUAUUUUCUGCUAAUGUUAAACUCAAAAAAUAUUUUUUGUUUUGAAAAAUAGCAUGUGUAAUUGUACGAUCAAUUAAAAAGUUGUCUUGAUAAUUCAUCAUGAAUCUUCUCGAAAUUUCGAAAAAUUAUAUUUUACGUGUUGAUAACGUGUUAUAAAAAGAGAGAAAAUAAAAGUCAAUAGACUUGUGUAUUUUGUUAAGAUUCAAAGUCCUGCAUUUAUAGAAAAGAAUCAUGGAUACAAAGAUAAUAAUUUCUAGGAUUGUAGGGAUACAAUUGUCAAUCAUUAAAAAAUUUACCAUUUACAACAAUAGGAUAAAUUUAGAGUAUUUAAAUGAAUGACUUUAAUAAGGUUAAUGUUAGAAUACAACGUAGAUGAAUAUAAUAUAUUUUUUUUAUAAAAUUUAAAAAUUCAAUAGGGAUGAAUUUCAAGUAAAAUAAAUAAUAUAAAAAUCAUUGAUGAAAAUAGCGAUUCCCAUUUUUAUUUGAUUUAAUUCUUAUCCAUUUAAGUAGAUUUUGCAUUUAAACUUAUCAAUCUUUUCUCAUUGUAGCAAUUAUUUUUUAACUUUUUUUUAUUGAAUUUUUAUUUUUAACUUUCUAUUAGUUAGUACCGUUUAUUCCUCGCUGAUGAUUUAUUUCAAAAUAUUUUAUUUUCAUGUUUCGAAUUGAGAAAAAUAUAUUUUUUGCAUUAUUUAUUUAUUUAUUUUCUUAAAAUAUGAUGAAAAAUAAGUUGUUUUAUACUAUUUUAACGAACUUUUGGAAAAAAUUAUUAUCAAAUAUAAAUGUGUUAACUAAUGAAAGUUUGAGAAUAAGAACGACUUGAAAAAUAUUUAAGAAUAUAAGUGCUGUAAUUAACAAAGAUUAAGAAUUAUAAUAUGAUGCAAUAAAUAAAGUUUGUGGUGUAAAUAUAAUUAGCUAAAGAAUAUACGUAUGUACAAGAAGUCUCCCAAAGAAAUAUUCCUAAUUUGCUUCGAAUUGAGUCAAUUGUUUCCUUUUUCCAGUUCCUGUUACCAUAUCUCGUCGAUUCAAAAUCAGCCUGCAGUUGGGAGUCUUUGCCCGCUUAUAUAUCGUCCUCCCCAAUACCCUUUCACAAAUCCACACCUGAAUCUCUAUUUCUUGGUCUUUAACUAAUCUCUUAUUCUUGUGGUGUUCCGAUUCCCCACCGAUUUUCUCCGCUUCGAUUCGGUAAUCUGACUGACAUGGGCGACAGCCAGAAUUAUAGGGGGAAAGAUCCGUUCCUACGGGAUUACAGCGCCGAAGAACUUCGAAUUGCUUCCGAGUUCUUGUCCAAUUGGCUGCCGCAUCUCUCCCGUGGACUCUGCAAGAGCUGCACUGAAACUCUUUCCGAUCGAAUCCGAUCUCUCAAUCCAGGUACAAAAACCAUCCCUUUAUAACUGCUGUAUACUUAUGUAAGUGUAAUUAUGUCCGAUGUAUCUAUUUCUGUUCUUAUGGACUAUAAUAAUAUGGAGAAUUUUCAAUUUAGCAUUAGAUUUUUUAUUCCCCUUUUCGAAAUCUUGACUCCUUAGUGAAAUCUCUUCUUUGCAUUUGUGUCUGAGUUUAAUUGGAGUAUUUGAUCCCCUAGAAUGUUUCUUUUCCUUAAAAUUUUUGUGGGUUUUCUAUUUCAGUCUGAACGGAGGCUAUUCUAAAUGUUUAAUUAAAUUUUGUUUACAGUGGUUACGAAAAAUAGGGGAUCUUUUCAAAACUAUGAAUUUACGUUAACUGAAUUUGGAAAAUAGAAUGGUUUUAUAUACGUUAUAUUAUGCCGCCUUUAAGGAUUUAGUUUUUCUUAUUUUUUUGAAAUUCUUGCGUGUUAUUCAUUUGGGUUUUCCUUUGGCUUUUGUAGAAAUCGAUGGUGAAUUAAGAUCUGGUAAAAAGGAAAAGAAAUUUUCUGUUUCGGCUAUCAUGGAUCUGAGUAGAAGUAAAGAAGAUUGUGAUCGUUCAGUUGGGAGUUGGAAAGAUACUAUGGAUCAUUAUGAUAACACAGAUACACAUUCAUUGGGCAGCUGGAAAGAUGAGGCUGAUGGGUCGGAGCCAGCUGCCGAUGCAUCAUCAAAUAGUGAAACAUCUACCUUAUUGAGACCUUUUGCAAGCUCGAAGGUGAAAAUGUCUUGGGCUGACAUGGCUCAAGAGGAUGAGCUUGACAUGGACGAAGACAAUGGGAGUAGUACGUCUGUCAGUGUGCAAGAGGGAACAACAUUGGAGGAUGCUAAGCCAAAGCCAGGGCUGUCAAGGGAGCAAAGAGAAUACAUUCGUUUCUGUAAUGUGAGGAGAGAGAAAAAUUUUAUAUCUUUCGAAAGAGUUAAUGGGAAAUUCGUGAACAUUCUAGACGGCCUGGAGUUACAUACAGGCGUCUUCAGUGCUGCUGAACAAAACCGGAUUGUUAAGUAUGUUGAGAAGCUUCGAGAGAUGGGGAGCAAUGGGAAGCUGAAAGGUGAGUUACUGAUAAACUACACGUUUUUUCAUCUUCAUUAAUUUUGGAUAUAUCUUUCCCUCUAGUUAUCACAAUAUGAAUAAUGACUUCUGGACUAUUUUGCCUUCUGGAUACUGUCAAACUGUUUGCUAUCAUUCUCUGCUUUAUUAAUUUCUGGUCAAUCUCACUCUCACAUGCAAUCAACCUUUGGGUUUUAGGGAGGCUUUUUAGUUCACAGACAUGCACAGUUAGGAAGUUGUUUGAUUUUUUUGAUCAGAAUGAGCUGUUAAACUAAAUUACUUUAGAGAGCAGGAUCAAUAUUUAACAUCUUUUUAUGAGAAAGGAGCUUAAAUCGCAUUCUAGUGGUUUCAGGAUACAUUUGAAUCACUGUGCCUAGUUUGCAAAUAUGCAACUUUCCUUCUUGUGGUUCUUAAUACUCGUGCAAUCACCAUGGGUUCUAUGGUGUCAAUGUACUUUGCACUCUUGUAUUCCACAUGGUUACAUGCUGCUCUUUACUACAUUAAGAAUAUAAUGGUUAUUUAUGGCAAUUUGUGUAUGAUUUGGAUGGCCCUGAUCUUCAUAUUUAAUUUCAUUGCUUUAUUAUAUAUAUAUCUCUGUGUGUGCGCGCGCUUACCUGUCUAUGGUUUAAUUUCAGAGCGCACCUACUCUGCGCCACAGAAGUGGAUGAGGGGGAAGGGACGCAUCACUCUUCAGUUUGGUUGCUGUUACAAUUAUGCUAUUGUAAGUUUCUCUUUUCAUCGUAGUUUGGACAUAGAACUUUCACUUGUUCAAUGUUCACCACAUCAUUAUUAGUAGAAAUGUGAAGAUAUCAAUAGCCUUAAGUUCAAUUUUUUUUAAUGGCAGGAUAAAAAAGGCAAUCCACCAGGCAUUCUCAAGAACGAAAUUGUUGAUCCUUUACCUCAUCUAUUUAAAGUUAUGAUCAAAAGGCUCGUUACGUGGCAUGUUCUCCCUCCAUCAUGUAUUCCCAAUAGCUGUAUCGUCAACAUUUAUGAAGAGGGAGACUGUAUACCACCUCACAUUGAUAAUCAUGAUUUCGUUCGACCCUUUUGUACCGUCUCUUUCCUUAGCGAGUGUGAAAUACUUUUUGGAUCAAACUUGAAAAUAGUGGGUCCUGGUGAAUUCGCUGGUUCUUUUGCAAUUCCUCUGCCAGUUGGGUGAGUAUUUAGGACUUAUUCUUAUUAGAUAAACAUGAAAAUUCAUGUUUUUUGUUUCUACCCGAGAAAUCAUCUUCUUAUGAAUUAUUAACUUGUUGCCAAAUCUUUUGCCAGAUCUGUUCUUGUCUUAAAGGGAAAUGGAGCUGACGUGGCUAAGCACUGUGUGCCUGCUGUUCCUAUGAGAAGGUACAAAUCCAACUAAGUUAUGUUCUUCAUACUUUCCUCAGUUGCGUUUCUGCAUAAUAUGCUGAUUCUUGAAUAUUUUAUGGCCAGGAUAUCAAUUACCUUUAGGAAAAUGGACGAAUUUAAACAGCCGAUUGGAUAUGUCCCUGAAUCUGAGCUGCAAGGGCUUCAGCCAUUGCCUUACGAAGUGGACACUUCAAAGAAUUACAAUCCUUCUAAACAGAUGUAUUUUUAUAAAAACCAAGCAUCUGGAAGAGAUGAGAAAACAGAGAGAGGAAGGGGAUCAACCGGAAGGUACUCGAAUGCCCAUUAUUCAGGUCGAAGCAGACAAGGUCCUGUAAACAGGCCAAUGGGACGGGUUAAUUUGGAAAAGUGAAUUUAGUACGAUAAUAAAAAGCUCGGGAAAAUUGUAGACAUAUACAUAUUCUUCUAUGAUUUAAGGCCUUUCAGUCUUUUAGGACUAGGAGUAGGAUUUUGGGUCAGUACAUUAUACUUGUGUGCCAUUUUAGGGAUAUUCAUCGCGUUCUGAGAGUUAUAAUUCUACGCGAAAACAAUAAGUAGCUGGGUUUAUGCUUUUUACUUCUUUGACAAAUCGGCGUGUAUAUUGUAUUUGAGUUUCGAACUGAAUUUGUUUUGGUUUGUGAGUGAGUUGAACUUAAAUUUUAUUUCUAUGAAAUAAUGCUCUAUUUUCUUGGUUAUCCACUUUAUUCCAGGAUUCUGCUACAUUUGUUUGCUGCUAUUCAUCAUGCAGUAUAUUGAAAUGUCGAAGAUUUACUUCGAUUCUUGGUUUACUUUAAGUCUUGGUUUAUGGAGAAUACUCUACCGCUUUUAAUUGAUUGAUUUAUUUUUUAUUGGAAUGUUUGAAAUAUAAUCGCUUAACGCAAUCAAUAAUUCAUAGUGUAAGUUUUUCCGUUUGGAUUUCCCUAAACAUAGUGUAAGUUUUUUUCAUUUGGAUUUCUCCCCCUUCCACGACGCAAUGAGAAUGAGUGGGAUGACUAUAUUUUUAGGAGCCAACUACAGGAAAAUAUGAAGCAUACGAAUAAUGCAAGUAAUGCCUUGAAAUGAAACGAAAUGAAAAUUUAGAAUUCACGAGAGAAUGGUGUUACACCUUGCGAUCGCAUUGUUCAACUCAUCAGUAAAUAUUCUAUUUCCUUCUUCGAUUAAAUGUUUUUAAGGAUAGCAAGUCUAUCACAUUUUUAACUGUAGAUUAUUUCUUAGAUUUUUGGAUAAAGAAGGUGCAAAAGGAAUCAUUAAGAAGAAUCGAAAAUAUUCAAGAAAUCGAGACUUUUCUUCUUUUUCUUCCUACAUUUAGAAUCCGGGUGAUGUCUCAUAAUUCAAACAUGAAUUCUUGAAACUUUAUGAUGCUUAGCUAAAUUUUUAGUGACUAGGACGCGGAUGGAUCCUUUGUUAUGAAAUUUUAAUGACUUUCAAGACUUUGACUUUUAAUACUCCUUUAUCUUGGAUGCUAGUUAUAGUUUUUAAUGUUCUUCAAUUAAAUAGCUACAACUGAAUAUGUGUAAUCUUUAUUUUAUUCAAGAGAAAGAAUAAGAAAUAUUGUACAUUAUAAGGGUAAUUGGCACAAAACGUCCCUAUCUUUCAAGAUUUUUGUGAAAAACGUCUUUACGUUUCAUUUUUUGGCAAUUUCACCCCCACCUUUGCCAUUUGUUGCGCAAAACAUCCCUGAAUCCACUCCUCGUUAAAGUGCACCGUUAAAUCAAAGAAAAUAAGUUUUUUUAUUUUCAAAAGGCAAGGGUAAGAUUGUCCAAACACAUUUGUUCUUUAUUGAGGCUUCAUUCCCGCCUUCUUCAAAUGUUAUGCGUAACUAAAAAGUAAUAUGAAAAUAAAUAAAAUAAUUUGUAAAGAAAUAUUUCACUCAAUACAUAAGGAUUUUUUAGUUCUAGAAGUUCUCAAUCUCCAUACCAAGUUUUUUAAAUAAGGCUGUGACGACUUUUUUAAUAAAAUAUUUAAGCACCUAUUAGUCAAUACUUUUGAAAAGUAAAGAAUUAUUAUAAUUUUUUUGGAAAUAUUUUGUCCAAAAAGAUUAGACGAAGUUGUUCAAACGAAAAUUUUCUAAUGAUAACAUCCUCUAGUAAUUCUUCUAUAAGAAGUAUACUCCCUUUGUCUCAUUUAUAUAAACUGAUUUUUUUUUUUACACGAAUUAAAAAAUCUUAUUUAAUGUCAUUGAACAAGUAAUUUCUGUCAAAUACAUAUCUAGUCUAUCCUUAUUUAUAUUUGUACAACUUUAAGAUUUAAGUGAGAAAAUUUGAUUAUAACUAUGCAUAUUAAAUAAAUGUAUUUUAAUAAAUAAACAAAACAAAACACUCUCAAUAAAGAAAUAAAACUAUAUAAUUGAGAUAAAAAUAUUAAUAAUAAGAAAAAUUAACGUAUAUAAAUGAGACGGGAGAGUACAUAAAUUGUACCAAAAAGCCGCUAACUACUUGUACAACAAGAUUGAAAAGUUAAAAAGCUAAAAUCCUUUAUUUUAAAAUUUGGAAAAUAUAUAAUGAACUGUCUGAUUGAUGAGACGUGGGAAGAAUAAAUUACCACUAAAGUUAAAUUUGAGUCGUUUUAUGCACUAUAUGGCUACAAUUCUUGACCAAAUCUAAAUCAAAUAUAAAUAAUACAAUAAUAUGGGAAAGAUCAAGUUAACACCCUAUUUGGAUUUUAUUUAAUUAUUGUAUUUCCUUUAAAAAUUAAUACGAACGGACUAAAAGCAACGGACUUUGUCUAUACCGGAGUUUGAUCGGUCAAGUUAUUGAAUCUACCACAAACAUAUUAUUGAAUGAAAUAUCCUAACUGUAUGUAUGAAUGAAAAUGCGCAAAAGACAAUGCGCAUUUUCGCAAAACAAUGUAAAUGUAUGAAUGUUUUGCGCAAAGACAAUAUAAAGAUAUGGAUUGUUAUCACAAGUUCAACUUCACAUUAAAUUGGGAAGAAGACUCGUUUUUCUUCCUCAUCUUCUCCAUUUCUAUGUAUUGUCUAUUCACAUAAUCACAUUUUAAUUAAUCUUCUCACUUUAACAUUUAUUUACACCCUUUGUAAGCACAAAAUGGGGAUGAACAUUUCAAUUUUAUCGACCACAUAUCCAUUGUUUUCAUAUACGUUGCCAAAAUUUUUUUAGCAAUCAAGCAUUACAGUAGCCAUGAUGAAGUUCAACCAUAAAUAUAAUGCUUUCUAUCGUUUUUCCUUAUGUAUUGAGUGAAAUAUUUCUUUACAAAUUAUUUUAUUUAUUUUCAUAUUACUUUUUAGUUACGCAUAACAUUUGAAGAAGGCAGGAAUGAAGCCUCAAUGAAGAACAAAUGUGUUUGGACAAUCUUAUCCUUGCCUUUUGAAAAUAAAAAACUCAUUUUUUUUAUUUAACGAUGCAUUGUAACGGGGAGUGGAUAUAAGGAUGUUUUGCGCAAUAAAAGGCAAAGGUGGUGUAAAAUUGCCAAAAAAUGAAAGGUAUGGACGUUUUUCACAAAAAUUUUGAAAGGUAGGGACGUUUUGUGCAACUUACCCUACAUUAUAGCAUUCAUUGUAGCAUGAUGGCAACGGGUCGUGUAUAGGGCAAGUCGGUCAUUCCCUUCCUCAUAUGACGGGUAUUUUGUUAUCUUGCCUUCUUCCCAUAUCCGGUCAAAGCAAGGUCAAUUAUUUAUUUAUUUUUGUUUUUAUUUUACUUAUAUCUUUAGUUAGUUUAUAUUACUACAUUUUCCUCCAAUUUGUUAAGAACAACUUAUGUUCUCUUUAAAAAUAAUAAUAAAUCUUUUCUUUUUGUUUGAUAAAAACUUAAAUUUGAAAUUAACUUAAAAUGGGGCGGAUAGUGGGACGACGACCAUGUUUUUCGUACUAGCUUCGAGGCAAUGACUCCCAUUCCGUUUAUUUGAUUAGGCAAGUAAUCCUUACAAGUAUUGGGUUGAACAGUGCCAUUACUAUACUGUAUGGUCCGAUAGGAGGUGAAGAUAUGCCACUAUGUCUUACAUGAUUUAAUUGGAUAUUUUUAUGUUUCUAUACUUUGUUUCAUAUUUGUAUCUUUUAUAGAGACAUAAGAAGGUUAUAUGUGAGGAUAUAUUUAAUUCUACUUGAGAGAAAUUAUUGUAAGAUUGAGGUUCAGUCCUAUAAUGAUCUAGUACCCGAUUUUUCGGGUAUUUAGUAAAUGAAAUUGUUGGUCCAAAUUUAAUUAUGGAAUCGUUUAGACUCGAUUAUGUUCCGUUUGGUUACUGGAUUCUAUAUAAUAAUUAAAUAUUUUAAUAUUACAACAAUGCUACAUUAAUUCAAUUAAUAAUAUGUUCAAUCUUAGAUCUUACAAAACAACAUAGUCCAAUCUUUUGUAUCUUUUGUACGUUUUGUUGAGUUCUUCGUAAAUUUAAUUGUUAAAAUCACGAGAAGGGAAAAAAGGUCAGCUUACAAUAAUAAAGAGGUGCAUAGUCGAGCUUUCAAUUCGAUUUCUCCAUAACUGUAUGAACAACACUACAGUAGAAUUAUAGAUUUAGGUAAAACUUAGGUCAGUUUGAUUAAAUUGGGUUUAUAUCGAAAAUUAGAAAUAGAAAAAUUAUAUUUUGAGUUUUUGCUAAAUUAAUGAAUUAACAAAUUUAUAACAAAUUUAUUUAGAAUGUAAAUAAAUUUAGACAAUUGGGAGAUUAGAUUAUUUGAUUCUUGGUUUAAAAUAGAGAACCGAAAAAAAAUUGUUGGUUCUUGAUUCAGAUACUCGUUUGAGUAUUUAAAUUAAAAAGAACCGCUCAAUUCAAUUCAGGUCAGGUCCGAUUCGAUUCGAGAGUUUUGUCCAACCCUAUAUUAUUCAACAAAAUAGGAAUAAUAAUCAACAAAAUUGAGAACGAGUUGUCUAAUCUUGAGUUGUGUUAAAACGGAUUAAUAAAUAGGGAUUCUUGGUGUUUGCUUUUAAUUGACUUUGCAAUUUCUUCUUAGUGCUCAUUAGAUUAGUUUUAGAUAAUUAGUUGUAAAAUCAAUAAAUUACAAUUUGACUAUUUAAUUAGAGUAAACAAUAUUUUAGAACUAAGUGAAGUACUUGGAAUUAUUUUUAGAUGAUUAGUUAUAAAAUCAUUCACGCUUCAUUAUUUUUGAGUGUUGUGAUUGCUUGCAUGUUAGCGUUUUCCCAUAUACAUAUAUAAAAAGAAAAAAAAAAUAAGUAAAUUGAAAUUUUCAAAAAUACAUAUAUAUAUUUUUUAUUGUAUACUUGUGUGAAUUGGAUAGCCAUAUUCGUUAAUGAUGAUAUUAUUGGAAUUACUAGUGCUUCAUGAAUUGUUACUAAGUAAUGUAACUUGGACUAUUUUGAAAUGUAUUUUUUUUUUAAUACUCUUCUUUGAGUACGAUAGUCAUCUUAAUCAUCGUUUAUCUUUGAAGAUGUUAUUUUAUUAGAAUAAGUUCAAUGAGCUUAAAUAUAGAUUGUUGAAAUUGAAAUCACACUAUACAACACAAUUCUUAAACCAUUUGAAAGAAUAUUUUGGGGGUUAUUAGAAAAUCUGCAAAAGACUCUCUAUUUAUUGAGAGCAUAUUAUAUAUAAUAGAGAGCAUCUUUAAAUUUAGAGCAUGUUUGGGGUUCAUUAUUGGUCCAAAAAAAUGAAAAAUCUUACCGUUGGAGCACAUAAAUCCAAGGCAUUAUGAGAGUGAAGUCAAAAGGUGGGGCCCUUCAACGGUAAAAAUUCUUCUAAUAAUGCAGAAAUAAUGUGCAUCAAACAGCCUCUUAGAGAGUAAUUUUUUUAUACGUUCUAACAAGCUCUUUAUUUUGAUUCUUUAUUUUGUUUUUUCCAAUGAAUAUUUAAUAAUUUCUCCAUAUAUUUUAUUUAAGUAAAUUUUUUUUAUAUAUUAAUGAGCAAUUAAUUAAAAUGUAAUUUAAAAUUUUUAAAUUGUAUAGUAUUGAAAUUUGUAAUGUAUUAAAUGGAAUCAUUGUAUAUUCUUAUUAAGAAUAGAGAGUGAGUUUGACUCUCUAAAUUUGGAGAGUCAAAUACUCACAUUAUUUUAAAAAGUUAAAAUAAUGAGUCACUUGGAAUUUAUUUUUAAGUAUUAACUCACUAAAAUAGAGAGUAUUUUAUAUUUAAAGAGUUUCUUUGAGUGCUCUUAAGCGAGUAUUUGCAGCUACUUAAACAGGCGUUGCUUCAUUGAUUCCAUGCAUAAAAACAAUUGUGUAAAGUGUUUUUUGCUAACAAGUGGAACCAAGGUAGAAAUUAUUCAUGAGAAGUCUAAUCCCAAUUAUUUGUCCCAACAAAGGUAUUGCACUAAAUCACACAUAAUUCAAAGCACACGAUUUUUUAGUUGAAUGACAUUGCAUGCAUAAAGAAGUUGGCAUAAGAAUUAUACGACGUAAUUUCGAUUAAUUUAACAACACCACAUACAACUCAUAUUUUUCUCGAGAGCUCUAAACGUUUCUCUAAUUGAUUAUCAGUAUCACAAAAAUACAAUUGCAAGUAGGAAGGACGAUCAUCUAAAGGCAACAACCCAUUUAUGCAAUGAUAAGCUUUUCCUUGCACUCUAACUAUAUUAAUGCAUUUUCACUUGUCUAGAAGAAAUUUAUGGUAAUAUGUCUCGCACACUAUAUGUAUAAAUGCAUUUUCAAGUAUACAUAGAAAUUAUUGUCAAUAUUUCUGCAAGAUAUAUGAAAACGAGCGCAGUAGCCACACUACUAAUUAAAAAAUAAAAAAUAAAAUAAAAUCCCUUCUUCUAUGGAUAGAAAUUGUCAUGAACGAUCAGCAAUGCAGUUGAAGAAAUCAAGAUGGAAAUGGAAAUGGAAAUUUUAGCACCGGUAGCAAUUUCUGCUGGAGAAAUCUCUGCCAUCAAUUGGAUAGUUAAAAACGGGGUUUUUAGGGAUGGGAAUGGUGUCAUUAUCAUUGGAGACACUUGUUCGUUUCAGUGGGAGAAGUAAGUAAGUAGCUAUGUUGGGAGUAUCAUGAGUAUUAUCAAAAUUAUUGAUUUUAUUGAUUUUUUAUUUUUUAAUUAAUGACAAACAUUUUUCAACUGUGAUUUUCCUCAAGUUUACCCUCAGCGAUAGGACCAAUAUUUGGCCUCCGUUUGAUCCCAACAUUCAUUUAAGACCUAAUUUUACACAUAAAUUUCAAAAAAAUUCAACUUUUUAAUUAGAUAUUAUUUAAAAAAUUACCAUUACAAAAUCUAUGGGUUAAAUCCAUUGAUGGCCUCCAACUUUAUAUUUAGGGUGUGUUUUAUUGCAAGCAUGUAAUUUACAUGAAAAAAAAUAAUUUUUAGACAAUUAUUUGCAUGAAAAUGGUCAAUUACAUGUGUUUAAUUGAUUUUAUUUUCAAUUUAGAAGAUAUUAUAUUUGUUCACUUUUUAUUGGUAGGUAAAUGGUAGAGAAAGGGAGUAGAUGAAAGAGAAAAGAGAGUGAAUUAUCUUGAAAAUAAAAACCUAAUCCCGUAUACAAACUAUUUUUCUUGUUUUCAAGGAAAAUAUUGUCACGUAAUCAAAAGUAAGAAAAUAUUUUUAUGGAAAUAGAUGUCAAUCAAACAGUAAAAAAGUAAAAAAUUUGGAUGAAAAAUAUUGACAAUCAAAUGCACUAUUAAUAUCACCAUGGUCAUUCAAUUUGAUUUUAUUUCACCAUUGUCACCCAAUUUCUUAACCACUUUCACUAAUUUUAAAAGGGGUAAAAUGGUAACUUUGAAUAUAUAUCAAAUAAAUUUUAAAAAAAUAAAACUUAUUUUAAAAAAUGAAAUAAAAUAAAAAAUUGUUUAAAAAAAUGUUACUAAAAAAAUAAAAUUAAAUAAAAACUAUCUUAUUUUAAAAGAAAAAUUACUCAAAAAAAUAAAAAUAAAAAGUCAUUUAAAAAAAGUUCCUUAAAAAAUAAUAUAAAAUAAAAACUUAUUUAAAAAAUAUUUUUAAAAUAAUUGAUUAGAAAAAUAGAAUAAAAUAAAGCAAAAAGUUAUUUUUUUUUAAAAAAACUCUUAAAAUAAAAAAAAUUAAAAAAAAUUAAUUUUAUAUAUUUAAUGCAAAGUUAUCAUUUUAUCCUGUUAAAUUUAGUGAUCAUUUGAAUAGUUAUGGUUAAAUAAAAUCAAACUAAGUUGUCAUGAUGACCUUAAGUAUAAAAUUGAAUACUCAUUUUAAUUUGAAAAAAUGGGGGUCAAAUGGGGGUUCAUUUUUUUUAUUUUAUUUUUUCCAUUGAUUAUGUUUAUUUCCACUCAUCUCUCUCUCUCUCUCUCAUUGUUUAUCUCCAUUUUCAAUAAAAAAAAAAAUGGAUUCUUAUAACCAUUUUUUUCUUUUUUUCAAUCAUUAUUUUUUUUGGUGAAAAAAAAUCUAUUUUUUUAUUAAAUUGUAAAAUUUUAUAUGAAAUAUUUGUAAUUAAAUUUAAAUAAAUUGAUUUCUAUUUACUUUUAAAAGUAUGUUAUAUUAAUAAUGUUGAAUAUUCAAUUUAUUGUUUAUCAUAUAUAUGUAUAAUUUUAAUUAUUAUUUAUUUAAUUAAGAUCUUAAAUUUUUAUUUUUUUUUUAAAAAAUUUAUUAUACGAGGGGAAGGGAAAGGAAAAUUGUGGAAACUACCCCUUGUAUGUGAAAAUUUCACAUUAUUGUACUGGAUCCACGUAAAUUCUACUUCAAAUAAAGUUUUUAAAAAGUCUUUUGAACUCUACAAAAGUCUAUAAACGUUUUAAAAUGAAAGUCAAUAAAAGUCUACGAAAGAUUUCAACUAAUUCUAUAUAAGUGCUUGUUUGGUAGAGAUUUUGUUAAUUGAUUUUUUGACCAUUAAAGAUAAAGUGGAUACUACCUGUGAGAGAAAAAUUCAAAAAUGAUGGCUGAAAUAGUGAAAUAACAGUCAAAAAAUUGAUUUUAAUUUGAUUUUAAGCUGUACCAAACAUGCUCUAAAUCUAUGAAAAUCCAAGAAAUUAUAGAAGUUAACACUUAAAAAAGUUUAUCAAAAUCUUCAAAAGUUCUAGUUGAAUACACCUCUAACUUCCAUGUAAGUUAAAAAAGAAAAAAUCACCAAAAUCAUAAGAAUUCAAUUUUCGUGGAAUUGGUCAAAAAUAUGCUUUAAGAGCGUGUUUGAUUAGCAUGAAAAAUAUUAUUUAGAAAAGAAAAUAUAUUCCUUAUUUUGAAGAAAAUAAAAAUCACAGCCACUCAAGGAAAAUAUUUUCCUUAAAAACAAAGAAAAUUGGGCAUAUUUUCAAAAGUUGAAAAUUGUUUUUCAUGAAAAAAAAUAGCAAUCAAACACUCCAAGUAGGAAUUUGAGUGAAAAACUGAUUAUUUUCAUAGAAAAUAAAUGUAAUCAAACGCACCCUAAAUGUUUGUACCUUGAAAUUCAAACAUCAUUUUCACUUUCGAAUCAAACGGCCCAAAUAAGAAACGAAUUCCAAAUGGACGCUAAAAUAUAUUCUUUAGAUGUGUUUUUCCCUAUAUACGCACGGGGGAUUUGAUAAAAAAAGCUUAAUCUAACAAUGAUAUUGGUAAAAUAACAUUUCUUCAAUAUUUUUUGGUCAAAUGGUCUUCACUUACAAAAUAUAAUAAACAAAUAAUGUCAAAUAUCUAAAAUGCCCUUACCAUAAAAAAUAUCCAAAUGCCCAUUUCAAUCCAAUUAAAUCCCUCAAUUCAUCUACAAAACACAUCAAUGUGCUUUCCCGAUAGUUUUUUCCCUAAAAUCUUGUUAUUCAUUGUAUUCUUCUUCUAUCUUCUCCAAUAUUGUGAGCAUUUGAACAAGAAUUUUGGUAUCCAUAUUAUCUAUAUUAAAAUCUUUACUAUAUUUAAAGCAAAAAGAAAGGCAUUUUUAGAAAUCUCACUUACAUUGGUACUUUUAUUGUUGAAUAUAGUAUAAAACGAUAUUUUAAUUUAUUUUAUUUUCUCAUUUGGUGUAUAUUUGUACCUUUCGCAAUUAUUGGACGAUAACAACACUUUAGUCAUUAUUUGUAGUGUGGCAUGACACUACAGUCGUUAUCCUCAAUGUAAAAUGACAGUACAAUUGUAAUCUGUUAUGAUCUGUCUGUUAUUGAUAAUAUAUUGUGAUUACUUUAAUAAUUUAAAUAUGGUAACUAUUUUCAUAUUAUUUUAAUAUAUACUUGAAUCGAUGAGUCAUAACGAAAGAUAUUUAUUUUUUGUUAUAACAAAAUAUCACUGGUGCCAUUUUUAGUAUUUUACCUAGAAAAUAUAGAAAUGAUGUUCAAAAAUUAAAUAUUAUUGAUCUAAUAACAAUUUAUUUUUAAAUUUACAAGUUAUCAAAUCGUGUUUACAUAAGUAAUGAUACUUGUGUUGUUUUUAUAAUAGUAACAACACUAGUAUUGUUCUCAUUUUUCAUGUUGUCCAAACAAUGAGAGUAUCUCUCAAAUUAUGUGAGCGGCAUGUACGUUUUGCGACUUAAAUGAGUUCAAAUUAUGGAAUAUAGAGGUCCAAAAAGCAUGGCUGUUCAUACUUGUGUUUAUUGACAAAAUGACAUAAGUGACAUUUAAUGGUACCUGUCUUAUGUUAGUUUCUCCUAUAUUUCGCUUCAUUUCAACCAUUUCGACCUCAAGGAUCGGACCUCCUAACAUAAGAAAGUCAGAAUUAUUAAUUACGUGGGGAAUAAUGGUAUCAUUGGCAUAGAUUGUAGAUGUCGCGUUGGUGAAAUCACAAGUCAACAUCCACAUUCGUUGGAAAAUAAAAGUAAUGAGAGUAUUUCCCAAAUUAUAUGAGCGACAUGUCUAUCUCGCAAUUUAAAUGAGUUCAAAUUAUAGAAUAUCGAGGCCUGAAAGGCUCGUGGCUGUUCAUACUUGUAUUUAUCAACAAAACGACACAGGUGACGUCUAACGACACUUAUGUCGUUCUGUUGGUUUCUCUUAUAUUUCACUUUAUUUUCAUCGUGUCGACCUCAAGGAUCGGAUCUCCUAACAUAAGAAAGUCAGAAUUAUUGAUUACGUGACGAAUAAUAGUAUAAUUGACGUAGAUUGUAGAUGUCGCGUUGGUGAAAUCACAAGUCACCAUCCACAUUCGUUGGAAACAAAAGUAACGAGGGUAUCUUCCAAAUUAUGUGAGCGACAUGUCCAUCUCGUGAUUUAAAUGGGUUCAAAUUAUGGAAUAUUGAGGUCCAGAAGCCUCGUGACUGCUCACUCGUGUUUAUCGACAUAACGAUAUUUCGCUUCAUUUCCACCGCGUCAACCUCAACGAUCGAACCUCCUAACAUAAGGAAGUCAGAAUUAUUGAUUAUGUGACGAAUAACGGUAGAAUUGGCAUAGAUUGUAGAUGUCGCGUUGAUGAAAUCACAAGUCACCAUCCACAUUCAUUGCAAAACAAAAGUAAUAGAGUAUCUCCCAACCAAAUUAUGUGAGCAUCAUGUCCAUCUCGCGACUUAGAUGAGUUCAAAUUAUGGAAUAUCAAGGCCAGGAAGGCUCGUGGCUGCUUAUACUCAUAUUUAUCGACGAAACGACACAAGUGACGUUAACGACACCUGUGUCGUUCUAUUGGUUUCUCUUAUAUUUCGCUUCAUUUCGUUUGUGUCGACCUCAAGGAUCGGACCUUCUAACAUAAGAAAGUCAAAAGUAUUGCUUACGUAACGAAUAACGGUAGAAUUGGUAUAGAUUGUAGAUGUCGCAUUGGUGAAAUCACAAAUCACUAUCCGCAUUCAUUGGAAAACAAAAGUAAUGAGUGUAUCUCCCAAAUUAUGUGAGCAUCAUGUCCAUCUCGCAACUGAAAUGAGUUCAAAUUAUGGAAUAUCAAUGUCAGGAAGGCUCGUGACUACUCAUACUUAUGUUUAUCGACAGAACGAUACAAGUGACGUUUAACGGCACCUGUGUCGUCUGUUGGUUUCUCCUAUAUUUCGCUUCAUUUCCACCACAUCGACCUCAAUGAUCAGACUUCCUAACAUAAGAAAGUCAGAAUUAUUGAUUAUGUGACGAAUAACGGUAAAACUGGCAUAGAUUGUAGAUGUCACGUUGAUGAAAUCGCAAGUCAUUAUCCACAUUCGUUGAAAAACAAAAGUAAUUAGAGUAUCUCCUAAAUUAUGUGAGCAUCAUAUCCAUCUCGCGACUGAAAUGAGCUCAAAUUAUAGAAUAUCAAGGCCAGGAAGGCUAGUGGCUGCUCAUACUCGUGUUUAUCGAUAGAACGACACAAGUGAUGUUCUUGUGCCAUUCUGUUUGUUUUUUCUAUAUUUCGCUUCAUUUCCACCGCGUCGACCUCAAGGAUCGGACCUCUUAAUAUAAGAAAGUCAAAAUUAUUGAUUACGUAACGAAAAACGAUAGAACUGGCAUAGAUUGUAGAUAUCGCGUUGAUAAAAUCACAAGUUACCAUCUACAUUCGUUGGAAAACAAAAGUAAUGAAAGUAUCUCUCAAAUUAUAUGAGCAUCAUGUCCAUCUUGCAACUUAAAUGAGUUCAAAUUAUAGAAUAUCAAGGCAUGGAAGGCUCACUGCUGCUCAUACUCGUGCUUAUCGACAGAAACGACACAAGUAACGUUUAAUGACACCUGUGUCAUUCUGUUGAUUUCUCCUAUAUUUCGCUUCAUUUUCAUAGCGUCGACCUCAUGGAUCGGACCUCCUAACAUAAGAAAGUUAGAAUUAUUGAUUACGUGGCGAAUAACGGUAAAAUUGGCAUAGAUUGUAGUGUCAUUUUGUUAAUUUCUUAAAUAUUUUGUUUCUUUUUCCAUGCAACAACAUCAAGCAUUAGAUCUCCUUACUUUAAAAAGUUAGAAAGAUUGAUCAUGAGACAACGAACGGUUGAAUUGAUAUAAAUUAUACGACAUUAAGUUGGUGAAAUCACAAGUUAUUGUAUCGAUUCAUUAGAAAAUAUAAUUAUUGUGCACAUCUCUCAACUUUUGUAAACAGAAUGUUCAUAUUGCAAUUGAAAUGAAUUCAACUUAUUGAUUUUCAAAGCAUGGAUGGGUUGUGACUACGUAUACUCAUCUUUAUAGACAGAAUGACAAAAGUGUCGUUUAACAGCCCUUAUAUCGUUCUAUUAAUUUCACAAACAUUUUGCUUCUUUUUCAAUGCAACAAUCUUAAACAUUAGAUCUCCUAAUUUAAGAAAGUUAGAAAAGUUGAUCAUGAGAAAAAGAGCAGUUGAAUUGACAUAGUUAUACAACAUUGAGUUGGUGAAAAUCACAAGUCUUGUAUUGAUUCGUUAGAAAAUAUAAUCAAUAAGCAUAUUUCUCAACUUUUGUAAAUGAAAUGUUUAUGUUGUAAUUGAAAUAAGUUCAACUUAUUGAUUCUCAGGGCAUGGAUAGGUCAUGGCUACAUAUACUCGUCUUUAUAGACAGAAUGACACAAGUGUUGUUUAACAGCUCUUAUGUCGUUAUAUUGAUUUCAUCAAUAUUUUACUUCUUUUCCAACAUAGCGACCUCAAACAUGGGUCUACUAAUUUAAGAAAGUUAGAAAGGUUGAUCAUGUGACAAAGAACAGUUGAAUUGAUAUAAGUCAUACAAUGUCGAGUUGGUGAAAUCAUAAGUUAUUGUAUUAAUUCGUUAGAAAAUAUAAUUAAUGAGCACAUCUCUCAAAUUUUGUAAAUGGCACAUCCAUCUUGCAGUUGAAAUGAGUUUUGGGUCAUGGAUGAAUCGUGGUUGCCUAUAUUCAUAUUUAUAGAUGGAACGACACAAGUGUCGUUUUCUUUACAAUAAUGGCACAAGUGCUGUUCUCAUGGAAAAAUUAUGUUUAGGCAACGACACUUGUGUCGUUUUUUAAGAACUUUUCAUCUUAGUAAUGACACAAGUGACGUUCUCAAUGACAUUUUCAUCCUCUAAAUGACACUUAUGCUGUUCUCUUAGAACUUUUCAUCUCAGUAUCGAUACAAGUGAUUUUAUUAUUUUCAACAAAAUACAAGUAAUGAAUAUAUCUCUUAAUUUUUUUAAAAUGCCUUAUCCACCUUACAAGUUAAAUGGAUUCAACUUAUUAUUUCACGAGGCGAGGGCGGGUCGUGGUUGCUUAAAAUCGUAAUGAUAAACAGAUCGGCGCAAGUGUCGUUUUAUUAUUAGUAAUGACACAUGAAUUGUUCUUUUGAUUUCUUCUUUAUUUUCAUUUGUUUUCAAUGCAAUGACCUUUAUAUUUGGACGCCCUAAGUUGUGCAGUUCUCAUAGUAAUAAUAGAAGUUUAUAUUUAUGUAUGUCACUUGUGCUGUUCUCUUAGAAUUUUUCGUCUCAAUAACGACACUGAUGCCGUUCUUAGGGACUUUUUAACUACUGUAAUAGCAUUUGUUUCAUUUUCAUGGACAUUUAUAAAUCAAAUAUAGUGAUAGUUGUGCCGUUCUCGUAAACGUUUUCAUCUCGAUAACGAUACAAGUGUCAUUCUUAUAGACAAGUGAUGUUCUCAUCUUAGUAACGGCACAAGUGUCGUUCUCAUGGAUAAGUAAAUUUAUAAUUAUAACAGCAGUUAUGCCAUCAUUAGGAUGCUAGACUUACAAUUAAUGAGCAUAUUUUUCAACUCAUAUUUAUAGAUAGAAGGAUGGAAGGGACGUUUUCAUUUCAAUGACGGCUCUUGUGCCGUUCUGUUGAUUUUUCCUAUAUUUUGAUUUUAUUCCAGUACAAUAAUUUCAUAUAUUGGACCCCCUAAUGAAUCAUAAACAUUUUCAUUUGAGUAAUGAUGUUUGCUCCGUUCUAAUGAAAUUUUGUAACAAACAUGAAAACACUUAUAUCGUUCUCAUCUUUCUCUUAUAACUUCAGUAACAACACUUGUAUCAUUUUCAUGGAUGCUUAUAUUUUUAAUAACGUAACAUAUGUCAUUAUCAUGAAACAACAACAAAUUAGAGAUAGAUGUAUAAUUAAAACGCAAAUAUUUAAUUUAAAAGAUAUUAACAAAAAUGUAGGAAAAAUCAAUAGAAUAGCACAAGUGCCGUUAAAUGACCAUUGUGUCAUUAUGGUGUUGUUUGAGCCCCCUUUUUUUAACAAAUGAAUUUCGUAAUAGUGUUAUGAUGGAGAAUGUAUGGUUAAAAAAUAAGAAAUUUUUUUAAGUUUGUGUGUAAUAUUAUUUUAUUGAAGAAACUUGUGGUUAAAAUGAGAUCAAAUUACUGUUCAAAAAUACAUUUUAAUGUAAAAUGAGGCUCAAACAAAGACUAUACGUGUUAACGCGAGUAAAAGCAGCUACGUCUAAUCUAUAUUCCGCGAACAAAUAGUGGAACUCAUUUACGUUAUCUAUGACAUUGUCAAACUUUCUAUAUUACAUAUGUUAGGGAGUCCAUUAUUAAAUGUUGUUUUGUUAAAAAAAUCGGAUGUUGGCGAAAAUUUCGUAAUGACACUUGUGUCGUUACUGGAUAUGAAAACGAUACUCAUGCUGCUACGUAUAUAAAUAUGAGUAUAAGUAGUCACGGUCCAUUCUUUUCCUGAAAAAUAAUAACUGAAACUUAUUUGUAUUAUAAUAUGUACAUAACGCGUACAAAAAUUGAUAGAUAUGUUUAUUAACUUAAUCGACACAUAUAAAUUUGAUAACUUGUAUUUUCACCAUCUCAACAAUAUAAAAAUUAUAUGUCGUUUCAAUCGUUCUUUGUAACUGGUCAAUAUUUUUGUGUUAUAUAUAUUAGCGAAUCCAUUAUUAGAUUCAUUUCUUUGAAAAAAUUAAAUUACAGCAGAUAACGACUGUAGUAUCGUUUUACUUUACAGAUAAUGGCUGGAGUGGUGUUCUAUAUUUCAAAUAGUAAUUAUAGUGUUAUUACAUCCAAUGGUAGCAAAUAACAAAAAAAACACACUAAAUACGCAAACAAUACCAACUAAAUAUUAUUUAAUACUAUAUUUAAUAAUAAAAAUGCAACAUAGAUUAGAUUUAUAAGAUCAUCUUUCCUCUUUCUUUCUAUGUAAAUGUAUGCUAACCAAACUCUUGUUCAAAUGUGAUUGAAGAGAAGAAAAUAAGUGAAUGUAAUUUUGAAAACUUAAAAUUGAAUAAAAUGAAAAGGGAAAGAAGAUGUUAUCUUCAAAAGAAAAAAAAGAAAUUAGGGUUCUAAAAUGCAUUUGAAGGAAAAAUACAGGGGAAGAAGAUGUUAUCUUCAAAAGAAAAAAAAAAGAAAUUAGGGUUCUAAAAUGCAUUUGAAGGAAAAAUAACGAGGUGAAAUGAGAAAAAUUGGAAAACAUUAAGGCAACAACUAAAGAAAAGUUUUAUCAUUUUGUCAAUUAAAAUAUUUUACAUUAUUUAUUUAUUUUUAUUAUUGAUCAAAGUACAUUUCAUCUAAUACAUUGGCCAAAUGGCCAAAUUCCUCUAUAUGCACACGCCUUUUACGGUGUCUCAGUGGGAGAGAAAUCAAUCUGCAAAUCUGCAAGAAUAGAAUCCGAACGGAAGAGAAAGAACACUUCGAUCUCUUCUACAGAUCGAAGCCACGUUCGCCAUAGCCACAACCUUAAGCACAGUAAUAAGAAAAGGACCAAAAUGUCCUCAUCUUCAUCUGAAAAAGUUAGGGCUUCCCAUAUACUCAUAAAGCAUCAGGGCUCCCGCCGUAAGGCCUCCUGGAAGGAUCCUGAAGGCCGUGUUAUCAGCGCCACCACCCGUGACGAUGCAGUUUCGCAGCUCAAGGACCUACGCGUUGACAUCGUCUCCAGCAAAGCCUCGUUCUCAGAUGUCGCUUCCCGUUACUCCGAUUGCAGCUCCGCCAAGCGUGGCGGGGAUCUGGGUUUGUAGAACUAUACCUCUUUUCUACCGUCAUUGCUGCUGUUUUAUGUUGCUUUGUUUUUUAUGUGACUGGGAUAUAUAUUAAUUGUUAUUACAAUAUCUGAAAUCUAACGCGUCCACUUCCAUUCAAUUGUUGAGUAAACAUAAAGGAAUGACGAAAGGAGAGUAAUAUCGUUGGUACUUAUCUUUACUGAAUUGGUGCUUUUAUUGCCGAAACCGUUGCUAGUUUUGUUUAUAAGGGGAAAUUUAAGGAGGGGGCAGUGUAUUGACUAUUGAUGCAGAUGCUCGUGAUAGGCCCUCCUCCUCCCCCUGAAAACCCCCAAAAAAUGGAGAACCAAAAUACGCGAAGCAUAAAGGGAAAUAAAGAAAAGGUUACAAAGUAAAGUCGUGUUGGGCAAUUUUUUUGCAAGAAUUACCCCCUCCAUGAAAUUUUGCCUAGUCUAAGCAGUCAAAGAAUAUGAUACUUCAGAAGUCAAAUAUAUGUUCUUUAACCAUUCUAAAUUUUAGGAACUAGAGUCCUUGAUCCUUGAUCAACAAAAGCUAAUUUGACCUUAGUCGAUGGAGAGAUGCAGUUUUUCCUUUUUUGUCUACGCAUGAGAAUGUGUAUGUGCCUUGGCCAUUUUUGGUACUUAAAAUUGCCUGGGAUGGAAUAGCAUAUGUCUAUGCAUGAGCAUGUCUGUGUGCUUAGGCCGUUGAUGGUACCUAAAAUUUCGUAGGAUGGAAUUGCCAUUCUCUGAAGUAUUCCACCUAGAAAGUGGUUGGUAUGUUUAUUUCCUUGCCUUUGUGAUGGAAUUCUAAUGAUGUUAGUGGACUUGACUUAAAGCAGACAUUAAUUUUAGGUUUCCUUUUCCCAUUGUGCAUUAAUUUGUUUGAUUAUAGGCAUAAACACAUAGCAGUAGAGACUGCUUAUGUUUUAAAUAAUUAAAACUCCCAUUACCAAAACCCAAUUUCCUUAGUCACCAUAUAUUAAUUUAUGUAAAACAUCAAAAUCAACUUGUAAGCAAUUCAAACAUUAAAGAUUGUUAAUGUUUCACAAAUUCUUCAAUAGAGGAUCAACUUGAAACCUGAAGUUUUGCAAAAUUACUAGUUUCUCAAACAUAAAAAAUUCCUCUAUCUAUCUAAACUACAAUCAUGGUAAUCGAAAUCAAAAUAUUGGGUGGCCCACUAAAAGUUCAGGUGAACUGGACUGCACAGUGGUCAAGUUAUUCUAUUACGAUCUUUUCACAACUGAACCAUUCAAUAUCUGUCAAGCCCAGCUGGUUUAACGAAAAUUGGAUGCCCAGUUCAAUGCCGCUGGUUUGUCGUUGGAAAAGAGACAAGGACAGCUUUUUCAAGUUUCGAUCACAAAAACUUUUGGGCAUUAUGUCAAUCAAGUUACCACUAGACUAGUCCAUCUUAUUGUUUAACAUUCCCACAACAAAUUUUUGUCUAAUUAUUAUCUAAUGACAAAAGGAAAUAAUUAAAAUCUUUGUUAUUAUCUUUAUGAUGGAUAAUAAUGCCUAAAAACUUAGUAUUUGAUUGAUCAAGUGCUAAAAGAGGUUAAGAGAAUGCUGGUUUUUAAUUAUUUUGUUCAUUUUAUAUACAAAAAAAGAAAAUUGUAAACCUAAUAAAUUAAUUGCUCAAUACAUAAGUAUAAUGAAUAUGCAUUAUAAACAAUUCAUUGAAUACAAACUCGUAAAACAACGUAAAAAACCAUGUGUAAUUCAAAAACCAAGUAUUUUUGUCACCUUAUCACAGUAAAGAACUGUGUAUAACCUCUAAAGGAUUAAUGACCUAACCUGUGAAUUAGUUGAGCUAGUGCUGGGCUAGAUGUAGUGAGGGUGGAGAUGGAGAUUUGGCGGCACCAGAUGAUAAUAGAUGGCAUUGGAUGCAAGUGGAAUAGUUAGGUAAGGCUCAAUGACAGAGAUGGGCAGAGAUGAGAUGGAGAUGGAAUAAGAGAGGUGGAGAUGGAGAUGAUGGUGGUAAAUAAUAAAUGGAAUAAGAGUUAGGCUGUGCAAGUGAAGGAAAUUGUGUUGUCAAACUCUUCAAGGAUGGGUUUUUCUCAGUCUAGAUAAGGGGAUGAGGGUUUGAUGAAAUAAGCUAGAUGGUGCUAGCUAGAAAGAUGUUUUCAAUGAGAGUAGGUAUUCCAAGCCUUGUAGUUGCUAAAAGAAAAUAGUAGCUGGAAUGGCCUUCCCAAUAGUAGGUCAUUGCAGCUGCUAAACAGAUUUUAGUUACCAGCCUGUUUGUUUCUCAUUUUCAUAGUAAAAAUGCAUUUUGUAAUAGUGAUUGUUGAAAAAUGUGUGGUUAGAAAAUAAGGAAAAAAUUUAUUUUUGCGUGUAAUAUUAUUUUAUUGAAGAGUGUAUGAUUAAAAAUAAGAGAGAGAGAAAUGUAUUCUGGGAAAAAUGGGUAUCAAACAAGGGCUACAUAAUUUUGUGGUUUCAUAUUGUAAUUUGGUCUGUGACCUUGCAAAUUUGCAUCUGAAGUAGGGCUCUCGUGGGCUUCUCUAGUACAAGAUCAAGCUGGAUGCGAAUUUUUAGCUGUAUGAAUAAGAAGGCUGCCAACCUGCCAUUUCAGCAUUGAGUGUCUGACAUGAAACAGCAGGUCAUGUACUGCUGUACUCAUUUUGGUAUCUAGAUAUCAAAAUUGUGUAAUGUAAAGUAUGGACAUUCCAUCGUUUAGAAGUGCCAACAGUUUCCACUAUACAUUAAUUGCUUUGGUAUUAACAUUUCUCUUAUCUAUGAUAGGAGAUUUACACUCGGAAUAGGUUUUAAUACAUCGAAUAUAACAAUCAUGAUGCUAUCUCUAAAAAUAUGAACGCCCCAACUGUAAUCGCUAACAACUUUAACACUUUGCGUUCUGGUAGUAUAUAGGAAGGAACUGAACUUGUCAUUUCGACAAAUUUCUUGCAACUUGGGUGUUGAGAUUUUUGGCUCAUUCAACCCCCCAGCACACCCCAAAAAAAAAAAAAAAAGGAAAAAGAAGAAAAGCACAUAAAAUGUAAAGGAUUAUGCUACUUGUAUAUAAGGGAUUACAUAAAAUGACAUGGAGGGAAAAGAUUGGAUGAAAAAGUUGACAGUAUUUUAAAUUGACAAAUGAUAGAGUGACAUAUGACAUUAUGUAAAGAGUGAUAUACAUGUAAUAAAGUCCAAAUAUAAAAGCAAAAUUUAUAACAAGAAGAGAAAAUCCUGUACUUAAAGUUAAUCUCUUAUAAGCAACAAAAAUACUUUUCGGACAGUGUAUGACAUAUCCCUUUGGCCACCUAAUCACGUUGUCUAUAAUUUCAUCAAACUGAUCAAUCCAUGAGAACCCUACCAUUUGUUCUAUCUUUUAACCUAAUCAUCCAUUUAUCACGCUACAACCUUCAAAUUCAGGGGGUUUGAGGGUGUUUAGUGUCCAGUUGAAGGACAACCCUACCCAUUUUUUUGUUGGACUGGGGGGUGGGAGAUUGAUGUGAUGAAAUCUCUCGACUUUUUGUUAAAAGAGGGAAAACUAGGGCAAAAUGGUUAAAUGAGAUGGUGGUUGUUUUUUAUAUGUAUUUCUGGGGAGAAUAUGCCACAAAGCCCAAUUACCUACCACCAAUGUGGAAGGUGGCAUGCAGACUGAGAUGCUCCUGCAUGAGACUGAUAUGUCCACCUGAUUAGGGAGGUGGGUUAGGUGCAAUGGAUUGAAAUUGUAUUCACGUUUGAGAAGCCUUGGAACACUCGACUUUCAUGAAAGUAUAAUAAAGAAUGGAAGUAUAUCCCCCUGUCCAUUCCUCCUCUGUUAGUUGUGAUAAGGAUCCUGUGACAUCGGAAUAUCUAUUAAAAUAUUUUACCUUUUUUGAAUAGCUGCCAUAUUUUCUUGUUGGAGCUGACGGAGUUCAAAAACUUAUGCGUUCCAGUAUUGCUGUAUCUGUCACAUUACAAAAGAUUCACAAAAUCUGUGCCUACUCCUGUGUAUGCAAUCCUGUGAUAUGCCAAUUUUUGUAUUGAUGGACAUACGAGAACAGUCUGUUUACUGACGUGAAAGUUUCGCAUUGAAUUAUAACUAUUUAUAAACAUCUUGCUACAUUAACUAAGAGAUGAUUUUUAUCUUAUCCAACUUCUGAGAAUCUAUAAUGCAUGCAGGUUCAUUUGGCAGGGGUCAGAUGCAGAAGCCUUUUGAAGAAGCAACAUAUGCACUGAAGGUUGGGGAGAUAAGUGACAUUGUGGACACUGAUAGUGGAGUUCACAUCAUCAUGAGAACUGGUUGAUUUAUGGCAUAGUAAAAAUUGUGACUUCCACAAGGAUUAAUUUGACACAGUGAUGAAAACAUAAUUGCAAUAUUGAUGGUUGAUCCAUGUUUAAUCUGGAAUUCAUGUGGGGUUUGAUAUGCUAUCUGAUUUCCAUAUCAUCUUCGUGGCUUGAGCGUGCUUAUCUGGUUUGUUUGGCUUGAUAUUAUGCAAAAAUUGGCAAUGAAUAAACAUUCAGCUUUGUAAUGGCAAAUGAAGUGAUGACUAUGUCAAGUUAGAUAUUUAAUUUAUUUUGAACUUGAUGCUUUACCUGAUAACUUGUAAUUUCACAAAAGUGAGCCUUGCAUAUGUGACACUUGUAUGCUGGUAUCCACGCUAAGAAGANNNNNNNNNNNNNNNNNNNNNNNNNNNNNNNNNNNNNNNNNNNNNNNNNNNNNNNNNNNNNNNNNNNNNNNNNNNNNNNNNNNNNNNNNNNNNNNNNNNNNNNNNNNNNNNNNNNNNNNNNNNNNNNNNNNNNNNNNNNNNNNNNNNNNNNNNNNNNNNNNNNNNNNNNNNAAGGCUUUUGACGAGUGCAUGCUAAUCUUUCAGGAAAUGAGGGAUUAAGGGUGUAAGUUUUCUAGAAUCUAGAUGGUCGAAUUUGGUUAUGCUUUUGCUUUUCAAGAAUCUCAAAUUUGGCCCUAGGAAAUUAUACCAACACUUUUUGUUUUUCUUUAUUAUUUUGUUAACAUGAGAAACUUUUGAACAUCAUCUUUGAUCAAGAAUCUCCAAUUAUCCUUGGGAUUCCACCGAGUGAAAAUUUAACCACCCAAAAAUAUUAUGCUUGUGUUGAAGUAGGAAAUCUUGAAUUUUAAUGAUAAUAACUAAUGGUGAAAUUUUCACAAAUUUCAGAGAUGCAUGAUGGAAGUUGGUUUUGCAUUGAUUUGUUUCAUUUGAUCAUUCCGUAAGUUUGGAGAAGAUGGAUGGAUGUUAAAUGUAAUAAAUAUUAUUGAAUAUGUGGUUGGUCCGUAUAGAAGUCAAAGAGAAGGGUCUCUAUUUAUUGGACAAAACCUUAUGUAAGGACUAUUAACUUAAAAAUAUAAUAUGUUCAUCUCAAUCUCAAUGUCAAAUUGUCAAUCUCAAUCUCAAUCACGAGUGUUAGUGAUUGGGCCUUGAAAUUGAAAUGUGAGAUGGAAUCUAAUGAAAUGUAAUCUCAUGACCGAUAUGAAGCAUCAUUUUGGGUAUUUGUAUUAAUCUAAGGCCUUGAUAAGGAAGGAAAGGACAUAAUUACUUGCACAUCUACUAUGUCAUUGAAAUAAAUAAAUCAGUCAGUCUAGGUAAUUACACAAAUUGAGAGUCGGUAGUAAUUAUGAGAAUUAAUUUUUUGAUCGUUAAAGAGAAAAGUGGAUCCCUGUAAGUGAAGAAGUAAAAAAUGAUCGUUGGAAUAGUAAAAUAAUUGUCAAAAAAAUCAAUUUUUUAAGGUAAAAAAUUGCUAUCAAACAGGAGUUGAUUUCGGUUUGAAUUCACAUCUAUCUUUUUUUGUGUCCUUGAGGUUUUGUUUUGAACUUGAAGCAAACAAGAUCAACAGUUUGAGAGUACAUUAGUCCACAAAGAUCAAGUCAUUUCAACAGUAGAAAAGUCUCUAGCUAAUGCAUCUCACUUCUGGUCUCCAAAAAUCCAUUUGCAUGAAUUAACCAUUUGAGUGAGGGCACGUUUGUAUUUAAUCCUAUCUAAUUAUUAUCUUGCAUUUGGCGCGAUUGGAUAUAUAUCUUAUUAUAUAUUCACCAUUUUAUGGGGGAAAAAACAUUAGUUAAAUUGAAUUACAUAAAUUUACUUAUAAAAAAUAAGAACUCAAAAUUUUACUUACAAGUUAAAACAAAAUGACUUGCAACUAAAAAAAUCAAUUGUAAGCAAAAAUUCAUAUAAAUGUAAAAAGUCACCAAUGGGUAAAAACUUACGUAUAAGAAAAAAAUUGCAUGAGUAAUCAUUCACUAAUAAAAAUUAUAUAUAAUUUUACAAUUUACAUAUGAGUAAAAAAAUUACUCCUGAGUUAACAAAUAACUUACGUUUACCUAAAAAGAUCACUCGCAAGGAAAAAUAAACUAAUACGUAAAUUUUACUUAUUAUUAAAAAAAUCACUUCUUAGUAAAAAAUUACUUUUGAGUGAAUUACGUAUAAGAAAAUUUAUCUAUAAAUAAAAUAAAAAAAAUAUUGUAACAAUUUAUUGGCCUUAUUUUUCAUAGAAAUUUAAAAUUUUCUAUCCAAUUUAUCUAUAAAAAAAAUGAUUCACCUUAUUUUUCAUAGAAAUUGUUAAUUUUCUGUCCAAAUUCCUACUUUGGAGGUGUUUUAUUGAUAUUUUUUUUUUCCAUAAAAACUAUUUUCCAACUUUUGGUCACGUGACCAUAUUUUCCUGAAAAAUAGAUAAAAUAAUGAUGAGGCGAAUGUUUGUCAUUGGGUUGAGUUAUGACUCUUGUGGGGCUUAUUGAGGGUAAACCUAGUUAUAGCAUGAACAUCUGUUUGUAAUUCUUUCUAUCUAUGUAUGAUUGCUUGAUUAUAUUGCAUUGUUAUAUAUUACACUUUCAAUCUAUUUAAUGUGUGUUAAUUGAAAGUGAUCUUAGUACUUUGUAUAAUUUGUUUGCGUGAAUAGUUGGCUAAGAUAUAUGGCAUGUUCCUUUUGCUCCGUGAGUGGUAUUAGAAGGUAUGGUAGUGAGAAAAAGAGAGGUUGUUGUUUUCUCCUUUAUCUUUGUGAGUUUGUGUGGUAUGUGAGAUUAUAUGGAGUAAUUAUGUGUGGGUGUUAUCCUCUUUUUGUUUGUAAGCAUAUUUUGCGAGUGUAGUGAAGUAACAAACUCUUUCUUCUAGGAUUAAUAGUAGAAACCCACUUAGAAACAUUUUCAUAUGCGAUAUACGCCCUAUCUAUUGAAAAUCGUAGAAAACCUCCCUAUUUGAAACCUUUUAUGCGAAAAACUCUCAUGCUAUCAACAUUUGUCAGAUUUGUCGUUUAAAACAAUAAAAAAUUCCAACAUUAAAAUGGAAUAAUUGUAAUUUCGAUAUCCAAACUUUUUGCCUUUUUACAAAUUAAAUCCAAAAUUUUUAUGUGUCAGCUACAAUUCCAAAUCUUUGGAACUUUAUUUUGCUUUUUCCCCAAAAAAUUCAACUGAGACUUCACUCAAAUUAAAAUUAAAAGUGAUAAAAUGAUAACUUUAAAAUUACCACAUUAAAUAAAUCAAUAAAUAAAACCAAAAAACAUAAGGAAAAAAUAAAAAAGGGUUCUCUCCUUCAAAAGCCAUCCCCAUCCCCAUCCCCAUCCCCACUUCAUAAAAGAUUAAAAGAUAAAGAAUCGAUGCAAAAAGGAAAAAAAAUGAAAAACUCGUUUAGAAGAAAAUUAUUUGAAUUUAGGUUUGAUGUACUUAUCAAAAAUGGAGGAAGAUCAAGUUUGUUGAAAUUAGUUCCAAAAGUAAGUUUUUAUUAAGAGCAUGUUCAUUAGUGAUUAUGAAAAUUGAUUUUUUAAUUAUUAGAGAGAAAAGUGGAUCUCACUUGUGUGAGUGAAGAAGUAAAAAAUGACAGCUAAAAUAGUAAAAUAACGAUCAAAAAAUUGAUUUUUUUGGUGAAAAAUUGUUACGAAACGGGGUCUAAGCAUGUCUGUAGUGCCGACAUAACUUUUGGCACCACCGUUGCGGGAAAGCACCAAACCACCAACUUCUCCUUACCCAUCAAAACCACCUAGGUCGUCGACCCAGCCUUGCUCCACUUCGUCGUUGUCGUCCUUCCACCCCUUCUUUUCCAUCCAAAAUCACCUAUGCAGUGUCCAAAUAUUUGAAAUUAAUCGUUGCUUAGCUUUAUAAAAGCGAUUUGAGAAUUAAGGUAUUUUCCACUUUUCCAUAUUUUCAAAAUUUUUGUGAUAUUUCUUUGAAAAUGAUAUUACGCCAAGCUUUCAUUUUGCCAACGUCCGUCCAGGUAUUCAGUUUCUGCAUUAUUUUAUCAGAAGAUUUUGAACCUACAUCGAGCUUGUGUAUUUCCUUCAAAUCGAACUUUAGUUCGGGCUACAAUUUUUCAAAAGAAUUUGGUACGUCCUAGAGGUGACUCGAAAGAGUUUUUUUUUUAGAAUUUUUUCAUAGAGUUGCAUUUUUGGCUUAGGAUUUUCUCUUUCUAUAAAAAAUUUGAGAUUAAAAUUCUUUUGAGUUUGCCUAUGAGUUUUCUCAGCUCAUCGAAACUUGAGAUAUUUUAGUCGAUCAUCUCCAAAUAAUUCACCUUGGAAGAGUUUUUGGAAAAAAUUUGUUAACUUCAGAAACAUAAAAUGAUUAAACUAAUUUGUAUUUUUGGGUAAGAAGAUGAAGUGGAAGAUUUGAGAUCGUAGGUGACACAUAAAAAAUUUAGAGCUCAUUUGGUAACUAUUUUCUUCAAAAUGCAUUUCUCUCUCUCUCUUUUUCAAUAACACAUUCUUUAUUAAAAUAAUAUUACACGUAAAUAAUUUUUUUUUUUAAUUUUUCAAUCACACAUUUCACAUCAAUUUAUUAUUCUAAAAUGCAUUUUUACAUAAAAAUGCCUAAACACCCCCUUAGAUUUAAUUUGUAAAAGAAUAAAAAUGCUUGGUUACUGAAAUUGCAAUUAUUUCUAAUUUUGGCAUUUUUUAUUGGUUUUAACGAUAAAUUUGACGAAUCUUGAUAGCAUUGGGUUUUUCCCACAAAAGAUUUCAAACAAGGGGAUUUUCCUUGAUUUUCAAUAUAAGUAGGGGAUAUGUCGCACAUGAAAAUGUUUCUAGGGAUGUUUUCUACUACUAAUUCUUUCUUCUAUUUUCUUUGUGAGUGUCACCAUCACUAUUCGUUUUAAUUUUUAUGGGAUAAAUCCUUUGUGGACCUCUUAAGCUUUGAUCUUGGAGUAAUCUUGUGGUGAGUGUGUCGAUUUAAAUUGUGUCCUAAGAGCAUUUUCAAGAGGCUCUCUAUUUUUAAAGAACAUAUUAUAUUAUUUGGAAAGCAUUUAUAAAUUCAGAGAGUUCAAAUUUUGAAACAUUCCAACAAUCUCUUUAUAUUUAAUACUUAAUUUUACUACUCAUAAAAAAUAUUUAUUAUUUUUCUUUAUAUUUUAUUUCAACUAGUUUUUUCUAAAUUAUUUUUUUAUUUUCCUAUAUUGACAUUUGUAGCACUUUGAAUACAUUUAAAUAUAGAGAGUAAGUUUGACUCUCCAAAUUUCACUCUCUAAAUCAAAAUGUUAAUUUAAAGAACCUCUUGGAACAUAAUUUUAAUGGUUGACUCUAGUGUUCAUAUUUAAACAGUCUUUUGAAAACCCUUUGUGAUCGUCAAAGGUGUCGAUUUGUCAAUGGAUUUACGAUGUGUUAGCAGUACGUGUGUUGUGCGUCUUUUGAUUAUGUGGAUUAGAUGUUUAAGGUUGUGUUGGUGAUAUGCGCAAGCAAUGUGGAGAAUGACAUUUGGAUCAUGAGUACAAAGGUGAUCAAAUGUCUGAUUUAUAUAUUAAGACUCUGAUCAGGUGGAGUAUGAAAGUGAAACUUCUAUCACUUCUGUUAAGUGAAAACCUAUUAUCCACUUAGGUUGAGAGAAGUGAGGUGGUUAUAGAUGAUUAUCCGGUAGACAUAAGAUCUAUUGUGGUUUACCAAUUAGAUAUAUGUUAGUAACUAGUCUAGUAAACAUGGUGGACAUGUUGUGCUCUCGAGGUACGAGUAACAAGGAAUGGAUAGAAUAAGUGUGGUGAGAUCUCUCUGUGGGACCUGCGAGAGCCCUCUAUUUUACCAAAAUACCCCUUUCUUUUGAUCUCUCCCCAUACCAAGGGCUUUUUUAAAGGAAGGGAUUUCUUCAUCGUGACACUCGCCCAACCGGGGCUCCCCCUAUCUAAUAAGGUAAGUUGCCCCUGCCAAUAAAAUCCAAAUUUGCAGGCACACCUCCCUAUGUGUCUGUCGCUUUAUCUCUACCAUAUAUGCAUUUGUUGCACAUGUGUUGGCUGUUUGAUUGAUUAACUUGGUUUUAGUUCGAUGUUCUUUGUGAACAUGUUUAAAAAGAUCCGUGUGUUAUCUCAUGUUAUAUCUCCAUCACAUGCUGUAUAUGCAUUUAAUUGAUUACUGUGAUUACUUGUUCUUGCUUGAGUAUUUUUUAUCUAAACUCUGAUAAGUAUACAGAGCAAAUAUUAUGUAAAACAUGAGUUAAGAUAUGUGAUUCCAAUUUUAUUAAUUAUUUGUUGAUUGAAUAUCAAAGUAAAAAUUUGUUGAGUUUAAUGCUGCUCACGAUCCAUAUAUUUACCUUUUGGAUGAAUCUUGCGUCCUAGCCCAUCCGUCUCGGAGCCCAAUUAGAGUUUUAACUUAUUCUCUCUCACACACACACAUGUUGCUUGCUCUAGCCACUUUUUUGGAGUGUGUGACUGGUUGGGGGCGAGGGAGUUAAAAAAUAAAAGGCUGAGAAUAGAAAAAACAGUUUGCUUUGUGCUCCAAAACCAUUAACCAUUCUUGGGUAAUGCUAUGUGUAAAAAAAAGAUUGGCAAAACAUAAAUAAACAAAAUCUAUAUUACUUAUUGCAAAACCAAAUUUUGAAAUCAGAACAAAUCAACGACCUAAAUCUUACCAACACUUAUUUUGUCAACAAAUUUUAUCUACCUACUUCGUACAAGUAGAUUAAUUGACUGUUCUUUAUUUUGAUCAUUUUUAAACAUUGCUUCAUUGAUUUUCUUCUUGUCUUUAUGAUUGUAAAUCAUCACAAAUAAAUGAAAUUGAAAAGCAACCAAAAUGAAUAUAUUUAUGAAAAACCCUUGUGGUACAUAAGGGUUGGUACACAAUGGUGUCCAGUACCACACCCUUAUGUACCCAUAAACCAACCCUAUAUUUAUUGUGGGUCUACGCCAUUUUGAUUGAUUGUUCGGUAAACAAAAGUAAUCAUUGAUUCAAAGAUCUCAAAAUGAACUUCCGCAAAUUUAAUCAAAAAAUACAUUAACUCCUAUCACCAACUCAUUCUUUGAAGGGGUAUAAACUGAUAUAAACAAUCAAUAUUAAUCUUUUUUUUUUAUCAUAUUAAAUUAAAAAUGAUAAAAACUGAUUUCAACGUAAGGAAGUUUAUUCAUUAGAAACUUCGUUUGUGAUGCAACAAAAACCAACUACUACUAAUACUAUUCUAUUCACACACAAUAUUCACAUAAAAACACACCCAUUUAUUUAGGCAACCCCCCUCUUAGCCCUCUUAGGCUUAAUACUCUUUGGCUGCUUAGGCUUUGCUGUACUCGCCUUCUUCGCCUUCUUCACCCCUUCAGUUUUCUUGGCCUUAACCGUAGCAGAUGUUUUCGGCUUCCUUACUGCUUCCUUCUUAGCGGGUUUAGCCUCACUUAACUUGUAUGAAGCCUUGAUUUUUAUCAGUUUUCCUUUUUCUGCAGAGUUCUUCAAUUGGAGACCCAAAAUCUUCCUAAAAUUUGCAGGAAGCACUGCCUUGUGCUUGUCUUCCAUGUACUUUGCAAUUGCAUAUGGACUCGAUCCACUCUUCUCAUUCAGUGCCACCAAAGCCUCCUUAAUCAUCUGCAAAAUUCAUAUCCCAUUUUUCACAAUUUCAAUUCAUUAGAAGUCACAGAAACUAUAAUCUAUUUCAGAAAGACAUACAAAUAAGUUAUACCUCAAAGUAAGGAGGAUGGGAGGCAUUUUUUGUAGCUUUAGGCUUUUUCUCCUUAGGGACCUUCGGUUUCUUCUCUUUGACAGUUUUCUCCUCCGCUGGCUGCGGCUGUUCCUCGGCGAGAUUCUUUUCUACUGUAGCCGACAUCACGAAAACUCACAAAUGAAACUCUAGAGAAUUCUAAUGA